rnacentral:lncRNA from 1 species
GGAGAAGAAAGCCUAUAUGAAUAAUAGAGAUUCAACAUUAAGGAGGAACCGUGAAGAGUCAACCUCAAGUAGAACCUCCGAAGAAUCUUCAUCCAACAAAGAAGAUAAAGUGUGAUUGAAAGCAUCUCAUGAAGAAGAUGAUCAUGAGGUAUUAAAGGUAUAAUACAAGCAAUUGUUAAAUUAAGUGCCAAUUUAAUCAAGGAAAAUUCUUAUAUUAAGAAUAGGAAAUUAGACCUUAAGGAUUAUCUUGAGUUUCUAGAAAAGAGUAAUGAAACGCUUAAGAAUGAAACAAAUGAUAUUAGAAAUCUAGCUGGAAAAGAAUAACCCUAGACCUUUUAGAAUCACUAACGCACUUGGACCUAAGAAAAUUUGGAUACCAAAGAUGAAAACCAAUGUAUGUUUUGCAAGGAUGCUUUUCAACUUUAAUGAAGUCGUUGUGCAUAGUAAGUUAAGUUGUGAAAAAUAGAGUGUAUGCCUCAUAGUUACAAUAGUAUCUAUUUUGAAGUUCGUGAUUCAAGAAUGCUUGUCGAUGGUGUAAAUCAAUGGUCUUGAUCAAAGCAAGUGAUUUAUUGAGGAUGGUCUCAACAAUCUCAGAUCUGUGAUGAUUUAUUAACCUCUUAGUUGGAUUAUAAGAUAAGUUUGUAGUAGACAUAUAUAUCCCGUGUGUAACCAAUUCUCAUAUCAAACGAUCCGUAGAGAAGGAUGAGCGACGUUAUGUUGUUGUUUCCUCAGAAGGGGGUUUCUAUCAAGGUUACUUAGUAAUCAAAGUAGUAAACUAUUUAAAGGUUGAAUAAUUAGAAAAAUCUAAUUAACCUUUAAAAUGUGUGCUUUUAAUAUUUGCUCAUCUGUUAAAAAAUAUUUUCACUAAUAAAAGAAAUGUGAUUUUAGUCUUUGUCAAGAAAGGGGUGCUAACAAAUUGGCCAAGGGUGCAAAAAUAAGUGAGACAAAGCUAAAACUCAACCCAAGACCCAAAAAUCAUCAAGGAUGAUGAAUAGAAAAAUCCUAAUCGAUUAGGGAAAGAAUCUAAUCAAUUAGAAGACUUACACGCUUCAAAUUUAAAAUCAAAUCAGAUCUAAGCUUUGCCUCCAAGUAAAUCAAAUAUGUGCAAUAAUGGAAAACAUGAGAGAUCCUAAAAAACUCCAAGUUCUAAUAUAUUAGAGCCUUAAUCUAAUCGUUUAGAUGGCCUAUUUUGGGAAGAUUUUGCACCUAUAUUUGUUGGACAGAAUCCUCAUUGAUUUUGUGCAACUUAUACACACCAAAAACUACUAGAGACUCCUCUAUAAAUAGGUAACUCUUUUUCAUUCCUUUGAAUAUCAUUUUUAUCUUUACUCCCUCUUGUGUGUGAGAGAGAGAGAUUAUCAUUUAAAUAUUCCUUUAUCAUAUUCAUGGCACCUAGGAGGCUAAGAUUUAUCUCUAGCCCUCUCACCGAUGAAUUAUCAUCUCAAUAACAAGAAGGAAAAUUAUUUCAAGACUUCACAAGAAGAACCCUCUUGGAAAUUCACACUUUGGAUUCUUGAAUGUUUAAGGAAAGUGAAUUAUUCAAGACCAUUUAAGAGUUAAAUUUAAGCACAAUCAUUUACAACCCUCUAAGAAAAGUGUAUCCAUGAUUGUUUAAAAUGCUCAUCUCAAAUCCUUACUUCACUUAUAGAAUAAUUUACUCCGAAGUAGAAAACAAAAAAAGUUAUAUCAAUGGAAGAGUUUGAAAACAUCUCGGAUAUUCACCAUGAUGGACCUCUCUUCAAGCCAGAUGAACAAGGUGACAAAUUCACUAAAAGACCGUUGCCUCCUCGUUUCUAAAAAAUCCAAGAUCCAUGGUACUCUCUCCAUUCAUUAUAGGUUAUAUGCACCAUGAAAUCUGUCUGAUCCAUUAUGUGACAAAUUGCAUACUUUCCCCUAGAAAAGUAACUUUUGUCACCUAACUAGGUUUGAUGUUGCAACUGUAUGGAUGAUUGUAAACACAAUCAAAACAAAUUGGGCAAGUGAAGUGAUACAAUACGUUUUGGUAAGCAGGAGGAAAGAAGUAUGCUAACGUUAUAGUGACAUGGUUACAAAUAUCCUGGAACACACUGGUUUCAACUUUAAAGAGAAAAGUCGAAGGAAGAUGUGACAAAAAUAGGAGAAAUAACUCUUGGAAUGAUGAGGUAUGAGAUCAUUGAUGGAAAAGUAAUUGAAAAAACAUCCAAAGGAAAACACAAAAUAUUGGAAGAUUAAUAAGCACCUGUGAAUCUAGAAUAUUUCGACUAUGACAUCCCUAAAGUACCCUUUGCUGAAGAUUUACUCAAGAACAUAAUCACGAGAUUGAAGAGAACAAGUGAAAAGAUCGACUUCCUAGAAUUUCAUUUGUCCCAAUAUUUAAAGAAUCCACCUUCAUGAAUGUUCACUAAUGAUGACGAGGAUGAUGAAUAAUAGUAUCACUUAUGUGUUUUUCUCUUUAAAUGUGUUUAAAUUCAGUCUUUCACGCAUUAUUUCUCUUCAUAUUGCAAAUUUCCUACUUUCUUGUACUUUGAAUUCCAGUAUGUCUUGAAUCAAUGAAAUCUUUUUUCCCUUUCUAGUAAAAUAGUUGACUAUGUGUGAUCAAGUGCUUGCAUAUUUAAAUUUCCUUCUUGCAUAUUUAUAUGGAUUUUUGAUUAGGAAAAAAGGGAGAAAUAUACUCUCAGGGGGAGUAUAGUUUACUAUUUACUCAUGUGAGGGGGAGAUUAAACAUUCCAUCUUUUUGUCUACAUGUCUUUUGUUUAACACCUCUCCGGAAGAUGCUUUAUCAUCAUCAAAAAGGGGGGAGAAUGUGAAACUAUGUGUGUGCAGGUAUAAUCAAUAAGUGAUCAAAGCUCAUAGACAAGCAAGAUACGUUUGACCCUGAUAAUGUCAUGGUUUUGAUGAUUACAACUCAUGAAGUAGUUGAAGUGGUUUUGAUGACAACACGUGAACUUGUAAAAACUUCUAGAGGGAUCUAAUGACAUUCUGUCAUUGCAUCUUUUUAGUCGCAGAAUCGGAGCAACACAAGUGAAAGUCGAGUAAAUAUGAGAAAGAAUGACCAAAGAAUGAAGGAAAUAUAUCUAAGUAUGCAAAUUAUGGACUUCGGGAAAAUUUGAGCAAAAAAGAGUGAAGCUUCAAAAAUAAUUACAUCCACCAUCGCUCAGUAUCACGCACGCGAUAACGCAUUGAAAGCUGUAUCGUGUGUGAUGCAUGGUAUCACGCACACAAUUAUCAUUUUUUGGGCCUUUUUCUGAUGUGUUCAGGUCCAUUUUGACACCUUUAAAAGGGGAUUUUCUAUACUUUCACAAGGGUUAUGAUUUUGGGAGAUUGAAGCAUGAAUUAGAGAGGGCAAAUGGUGAUUUUUGGAGCAUUUGAAGCCUUUGGGGGCCAUCUCUUCAAGGGACUUCUUAUGUUAUCAUUAUUUAUCAGUUGUGGUAUUUUUAUUUACACUAUGAGUAGCUAAAUUCUUCUAGGUUAGGUUGUGUUAUGAUGAACCUGUUUCUAAAUUAUUGGAUUCUAUGUUGAUUUGACAACUAUAUGAACCUAUUGAUCUAUAAUCUUAUUCAAUAGCUUCUUGUUUGUAAUGCUUUUUAUGUGAGAUACUCUUUUAAUCUGAUUUUGGGCAUAUAGAGAAUACUAACCAUUAGUCUAUAUGUUAGACCUAGGGCAAUUGUUAUACUUAUGCUAGUCGAAUAGGGAUAAGAGACCCCAAGUAGUGGCAUAGAGAAUUAACGUUAUACACAUCACCUAACCCUGCUUACGCUGAUAAACUAGAAAUAGAAAGCUCUGAGUAGUAGUUAGUGAGUUUUUUCAUGAGGGAUCGGCUAUAAUGAUUUUGUUAAUUCUCCGUGAGGUUAUAGUGAUUAGAUCAUUCAUACAGGGCAUCAAACAUCAACAAGAGAGGAAUAUGGGAUUCUACAACACAAUCUGACUGCUUUCGUGACAUUGUUUACUCAUUUAUUUACUCUUCGCACUAAAAGUUGAACCCCUCCUUUUUAUUAGUUUUUAUACAUUGCACACAUUUUGUCUUGAUUGGAGGAAGUCCUUGUGGAUUCGAUCUUUUUAUCACUUCGACAUUAUCGAUACACUUUCCGAGAAGUUAUCAAGUUUUUGGCGCCAUUGUCGGGGACUGUUGAUUUUUCAACAAGGCGACGUUUGUGCAAUUAUUUUUUAUUUAUUUUUACUUUUAGUCUUUUUAAUUUUUUUUAGUUUCUUGUUCAUCAUAAUGCUACUAAGGCAUUUUCUGUUUGUGUAUGCGUAGUUCAGGAUCACCAUUAAUUCCAUUGGAUCUAGAAAUUGAAAGAACUGCACUUGCUUUCAGAAAAACAGUUAGAGAAUCAGCUCUGAAAGGAGAAAGACCAGAAGAAGAGAAAUUAUCAAGUUCUUCUGACUCUGAAGAAGAAGUCAUGGCAACUACACAACCCCUCACUAUAGGGGAUUACUGUAAAAGAACUGAUGAAGGAUAGGUUUCUAGGGGGUUUGUAUCGGCAGACCCUGCUAACUUUGAUAUUAAAAAUUAUGUACUUUCAGGUUUAAGAGAAAAUUUGUUCGACGGGAACACGAUUAGAGACCCAUGGGUACAUCUUGCACGCUUCUAUGAAACAACUUCAAUGUGCAAACCUACUGAUGUCACUGAAGAACAGGUUAAAUUGAGGUUGUUUGGGUUCUCAUUGAUUGGAAGGGCGAUACAUUGGUUAUUUUGCCUUCCGAAUGGAACAAUCCGUACUUAGAAGGAAUUGGAGGAUAAAUUCUUGGGAAGAUUUUUUACUACUACUUAGUUUACCGAGCACCGAGCAGAAAUUGUUAAUUUUGAGCACCAGGAAAUUGAGUCACUUUAUGAUCCUUGGGAAAUAUUUAAGCUUUUGUUGCGCAGAUACCCAAAUCACAACAUGAAUAAUAUGGAGCAGAUGCAAAACUUCAUCAAAGGUCUCAAGAGUCAAACCUGCGUGCUAUUGGAUGCUUCUGCGAGAGGUAUUAUCCUUUAAAUGACCAAACCACAAAUAAAAGAGCUCAUUGAGAAGAUGUGUACGAAUGAGUACCGUUAAAAAACUAAAAGGCCGGUCAAGCGGGAAACGGUGGGAUCGCCUAAAGGUAUGUUACCUCUUGAUACUCAUACUGCUCUUUUAGCUCAAAUUGAAUUGUUGGAUAAAAAACUAGCUGAAGGAAGCUUAGGUAGAGCUAAUGUGAGCCAAGUACAAGCACUUAGGUGUGAUUUAUGUGGAAGACAUGCGAAUGGAAGGUGUUCGUUAGAAGGGACAUGUAAGGAGGUCCAGUUUGUAGGUUUUCAAAAGAACAACCCGUAUUCCAGCAUAUCCAAUUUAGAUUGGAAAGAUCACCCAAAUUUAUGUUGAAGAAAUAAUCAAAAUCCAAAUGCCAACUAAGGGAUGCAACAAAGCCAACAAGCUCCAUUUCAAAGGAAGCCAUCACACUUGGAAGAAAUCUUGCAAAAUUUCAUUAAAGCCACUCAAAAUAGCUUUGAUCAGAUAAAUAAGAACCGUGAGGAACUGAGUAGAAACCAUGAUACAUCUAUAAAAAAUAUGGAGAUGAAGAUUGGUCACUUAUCCAGGAAAAUAACAACUUUCUCAAGCUCAAGUGGAGGAUUCACCGGUAACACCAAAGACAAUCCUAAGAAUGCAACAUGCAAGGUUGUUGAUAUAGAUUUAAGGGUGAUUAUUGAACAUGGUAAAGAUGAGAUAGUCAAAGAAGGUGUGAUAGAAAGAUAAGAGAGUGUAAAUCAAGGUAACAAAGAGGAAAGAGGAGUCACUCUUGAUCAACUCAUUGAUAAAAACUCCCCUUGGAGAAGGACAAAGAAGCAAAUACUGACUGAACCAAAUCCUCCUUUACCAGAUUAUAUUAAACCAUCAUUCUCUAUAAUCAAGAAGAAACCGGUUCAAGAGGAUGAGGCAGUAAUGUUUGCAAAGUUCAAGGAAAUGCUAAGCUACUCUCCAGGUAAGUAUUUCAUUCCAUGAAAUUUUAGAACGCAUGCCUAAAUUUAUUAAAUUAUGAAGGCAUUACUAGAUGAAAGAAAAAGAGGUCAAGAAGGAUGUAAACAUGACCGAAAAGGAUGAAAUGGUAAUAUAUCAAGCAUUGACACCAAAAUUAAAAGAUCUAGGUAAGUUUACUAUUUCAUGUAAUAUUGGUGAGGUGAAUAUUCUGCAUGCUUUGUGUGAUAUUGGAUCUAGCAUAAAUGUCAUGCCACUAAGAAUGGUAAAAGACUUGAAAGUGGGUGAGAUCACACCGAGUAACAUGACUCUCACUCUAGAUGACUCAUUUAUUACUCAAUCGGUUGGUAUUUUAUGUGACGUAUUAGUACAUGUCGACGAACUAGUAUUCCCUGUGAAUUUUGUAGUGCUAGAUACAAAAGGAGAUUCGAGAGGAUCUGUUCUUCUCGAGCGGCCAUUCUUGGCGACCGGGAAAGAAAAGAUUUAGGUAGAAACUGGUGAACUUAUCUUGAAGUUCAAUAAAAGGAAAGUUGUUUUUAAGGUGUAUGACUGGACACCUUAUGUUGAGAAUUUGGAUACUUGAUACCAUAUGGAGGAAAAAGGUAGCAAGUUAGACAAAGGACGAAGGAUAAGUGAAGUUACAUGCGUGAGGGUAUCCCUUGCGCCUGACGUAACUUAGACAGGGAUCGUCAAGCUAAAAACGUAAAAUAGGCGCUUGAUAGGAGGCAAUCCACCAGUAAGAAUUUAUUUUUUACGUUAUAGUGAAUUUUAAAUUUUUUAACAAUGUUAUUUAUUAUGUUUUGAGGUGGAAGGGGAAAUAGGUAAAAAAGAAAAGAAAGAAAGAAGAAAAGAUAAAAAGAGAGAGGAAGUUUAGCCCCUGGUAUCAUCACACAACCUAUCAUGCACGUGAUAUGGCUCUAUCACGCACACAAUAUAAUCAUCACGUGCGCCAUAAAGACGUUGGGGAUAUUCAUGGUACCGUUAGCAUCGCAUGCGUGAUGCAUCUAUAACACGCGCGAUAUGACUAUUUGUGAGAGACGUUGGGGGUAGCCUAUGGCAUUGCGCGCGAUGUAGGUAUAAUAUGCGCGAUGUGCAAUGGCUAGUUGGCCUAUAAAUAGUGAUUUUCUAAAUCACUUUUUCCUCACAAGUCUCUUCUACACCUCUGCUUUCUACUAUACACUUUGAGCUAUUUCUAUGCAAUUUUCUUCUUCUUUUUCUCUGUGUGUAUUAUUUUUGCUAUUGUUGUGUAGUAGGGUUUUCGUUACCUUUAGGUUUAUUGACUAAACCAAAAGUCAACAUACAAUUCGAGUCGCCACCUCACUUUUAUUUGUCCAAAGGAAAGGCUAAAAAGCGAACAAAAGCCAAGUAAGAAGUUUUUAAAAUAAAAAACUAAUAAAAAAGUCAGAGAUCUAGGUAAGGGGGUUGGUUAUGAAAUGGGAAGGUUUUACGCAUCCAAAACAUCCUUAGUACUCUAAGGGAACCCUUUUUGCAAAUAUAUGUUGCAGGUUGGUAUUUAUGAAAAGACUUGUGCAAAGAGAUUGGAGGGAUGAGAAGAGAAUAGAUUAUAUUUACAAAUUUUGUUGUUUGAAUGGAUGAACCCAUUGCCUACGUACCAUCACAAAAGAGGAUCAAAACCUCGUAGUUCGGGGUAAAAAUCUCAAAAGAUUGGUGAAUUAAUUUGAUCAAAAUCCUUAAGGUCUUUUGUUAUCAAAGGGAGAAAACUCAACCUAAACCAACAAUCCACCAUGUGAGGAAGACUUCAACAUGCUAGGGAGGGGUUAACCCUAUAAUAAGCAUGGAAGACUUAUAAUCCAACCACUAAGGAUGAGGUGAGAUUUACAUCAACCACUAUGAUAACUCAAACCUAUGACUAAUGUUUUUUAAAGGUUUUAACAAGUGGCCAUUGGAACUACAAAACAACUUGAAGUGAGUUAUAUUUACAAGUUAGGUUUAUUUACAAAAAUAAGGUCAAAGUUGGAUUAAAGUUUAUUCACAAGGAGUAUUUAGGAAAAGAGUUUGAAAAAUCAAAGGCUUAAGGCCUAGGUUUCUAAUUUUAAACAAAGUCAAAAUUUUGAAGAAAAACGAUUUUUGGGCUUGGUUAGAGUGGGGAGAAGAAGAGAAGGGAUAUUCCUAAAGCAUAUAAAGAUAAGAGGGGAAAGAUAAACCCUUGGAGUUCCUUUUCUUGAAGUCAUAGAUAUGACUCAAGAUGCUCAUUUCCUUUGGACUUAGCACACAAACAAGCAAUCAAACAAUUUGAAUUCAAGCUCCUAGGAUCUCCAUUUGGAUUGGCUCUUAACUUGGUUACUCAUGACAAUGGUCCUCUUUUCACAAUCUCAAGGUAGGAUCCCUAUCACACAAAAGCAAACAUCAAAAGGUUCACAACACAAUAAAGAGAAUGGACAAAGAAUAAGUUUUGAGGAUAAGUUUUUUUGAAGUCAACUUUGAAUUUUAGCAUUUUAAAGGCAUGAGGCUUAGUUGCUCUUCAACAAUUUUGCAUUCUAAAGGUAUGAGACCUAGUUGCUCUUGAACUCCUUUAAGCAUAGGUAAGUCCUAAUUCUAAGUCCUUUCUCCUUUUGCAUUUGGUUCACAUCAAACAAACACAAAACAACACAAGAUAGCAAUAUAUUUAUAUACAAUAAUGGGCUCAAAUGAGCAAAAGAAAAAAAAUGACAUAAACAUAAAAUAUGUGCUCAAGUGAGAAAAGUGAAAAGCAAUAUGAAUAAUGAGCAAGGAAUAAAUGGCAUUAAAAGUAAAUGACAAGAAAUUAAAUGCUCAAAUUAAAGUUAGUAGUUAGUAAAGUUAUGUUAGCUUGUCAUAAGACAAUGUAGCGCUAUGUUAAGCAAUCGUAAGUGGCUUGUAGUAGUCACACCUAUCUGAGGUCGGUCAAUAAGAAUAUAGGCAAAUAACAUAAGUUAGAGGUCAUGACUAGUAAGACAAGCUCCAUAAACUUGCCAUGCCAAAACAAAAGGGGAAGGGCCUUGUAUUGACUUUAGGCUAUUUGCUUAACCAAAAAGCAACCUAUCUUGGACACAAAACAACUCACUUGAUCAUGGAUCAAUUGUUGAUUGGUUUGGAUCAAAAAAGGUUAAACUUCUCAUUUGUCAAGACCAACCAUAAGACUUUAACUCAUUGGCCAUUGAUGGAAAGAAAGGGAUGAAGAUGAAAGGGAGGGAAAAAGAAGAUCACCAUCAAAUCCAAUUGAUCAAAUGUGAAUCAAAUCACAUCAACCAACACAAAACGAAAAGAAAUGAAGAUAAACAAGUCAAAGGGUCAAUGGCAUUUUUUUUGAUAUUUUUUGAAUUAAAAUAAAAUGGCAAAUAAAAAAUAAACAAAUAAGGUCAAACCUCAAAUUCAAUUCAAAACAACUUCAAUGAGUCCAAUUAAAUUCUCAUAGGUUCAACAUAGUCAAACAAGCUUUGACUAAUUUUCUCACCAAUUUUUGAAACCAGAAAGUAUUUAAAAACAAUUAAAAACAAUUAAAAAAUAGCACAAUAUGAAUUAAAAUCUCAAAUAAUCUCAAAUCAAAUAAGAAAUUGAUGAGACUAUUUUUCAUUGACUUAUCAUGAUCCAUAAAUGCUAUGAAAAUCUUUUUGGAUUUUUCAAAAGUCAUAAAGUAUUUUAAAAUGAAUUAAAACUAUUAAAAAUCAAAUAAUCCAUGAAAAAUAUCAAAUGAAGUCAUAAAAAUAAUUAAAAAUCUAAAUAUGAAACUAUAUUUUUCAAGAAUUUUUUUGGAGUUGGUCUCAUAUUUUUAUGACUUCAAAUGAUUUUUUUAUGAAUUUUUAAAAAUUAAAUGAAUUAACUGAAAAUAAAAGAAAAUGAAAUAUAAAAAACCACAGCCACGUGAUGGAGCUCAUUAAUUGACGUGGGAAGGAGGGACGGUCCAGAUCAUAAGGAACACGAUAUGUCCAAGUCAAACGCGCCACAUAAGGUAUUAAAUGAGGUAAAUACAAUGGAUGCACACGAUUAGAUCCUGAAUACAAGAUCCAAAGGCCAUGAAGGUGCACACAUGGUGAUGGUGGUGGACACCACCAUCUUCUCCAGCGGGACAACCACUUCCGGCCACCAGUUGCAGAGAAAAAAGUUUUGAUGAAAAUGGAAAGCAAGGACAUGGAAAUGAAGCUCGUGUGAUGGAGAUCAUCACUGUACCAUUGAAUCUUCCUCACUCUUCCUAUAUUGAGAGAAAUGUGAAGGAGAAGAUCAUGGUGUUCAAACAGUAAGCUCAUGAAAUGAUGAAUUAAAAGCACUAAUGGCUUGCCUCAAGUGUGAGGACUUCAGAAAACCACACAAACACGAGAAUACUACAUUGAAUUGAGAGUUCUAGAUCCAUUUUUUUUGAAUGUAUACCUCUGAAUUGAAGCACUUCAGGCCACGAAUCCUUCAAGAUCUUUGCUCCUCUUUGAUCUAUGAAUAUAGGGGGAAUGAAAGGCUAAGGAAUUAGGCUUUGAAGCUCAACUAAUGAUGCUGAAUUUCAAGCUCGAAAGUAAGAACAAAAUUUGAACAAUUCUUUUGGUAUGGCUAUGGUUUCAAUGCUGCAGCAAUUCAGAUCUCCAAAAGGUUACCAAAUGAAUGAGAGGGAACCUCUAUUUAUAGCUGAAGGUAUCAGAUCACACGCUUCUUUCAUGUGCAUGGCAAAUUGAAAAUGCAUUGCAUGGGCUUGUACAUGCGUGUGAAAGGCUCAAUGAUGGUUGCAAAAGCUAGCUGAGAUCAUGUAGAGAGCAAUUGGACGUGUGCAUUGGAUUGAACAAGCUUGCAUACUCAAGUUUCAUCAUAAAAUACCAAAAUGCACAUAAAUAAAGAUAAUUUCGAAACUCACAAUUGGUAGGUCCAAAUAAGUAAUGUGAGUAAUGGUUGGAAAGCCCUUGAAAUAAGGAACAAAAGUCAUGUUGGGAAAAAAUUAAUUUGGCAUGUGAAAAUUAAUGAAAACUGGCCUGGAAAAUCCAAGUACAAAACAUGUUUAAGUCACUUUGAAAAUUUUCCCCAAAAGCAAGCUUAAUCAAACCCCUCUGUUUUCAUGAUGAAAGCUUCAAAUGAAAAAACCUUAAACAUCAACGUUGUAAAUCUUUUCAAUAUGAUCAAUUUAGACUCAAAGUUUGCAUAAUUUGGAUUUUUUAUGACAAAGUUAUGGGCAUUUGAAGUUGGGUACUUUUUCAAAUUCAAUGAACUAGGUCCAGAAUGGCCUAUAAUGUUUUGUAUUAUCACAUGUAUUUAUUUUAUGAUUAUAAAAUUUUGUCCAACAUAAAAUUUGAAUUAUACAUCUCAAGAUUUCCAAUGCAUUUGGUCUCACCUCAAAAUCACAAAAAUUAAGGAAAUUAUGCCCUUGGUAAGUUGACCCAAAAUUAGGGUUUUAGUCAAAAUGACCUAUAAUGUUUUGAAAUGAAUGAUGACCUUCCAAGUUUCAAAUGGAUUUUUGAUGAACAUGAAAGUUGUUCAUAUGGUUCUUAAGAACAGUUUUUCUCAUGGGGUAAUAUUCAUUUGACAAACAAAUCAAAAGUUAUAUCUCAAUGGUGCUCAGCUUAGUCAGAUGACUUGACUGGUCAACUUUUCAAGGCCAAACUUCCAAUCUUGAUGAAUAAAUGAUUGAGGGGACUCUCAUAAGCUCACACAUGCAUAAAAUGGUGAAUUAAAGAAGUUACCUUGAUUAAAUUUGUUUAUAGGUUGAGAUUGCUUCAUGGGCAAGGCACAAUCAAAGUACAAUGGAAUUAGGGUUUCCUUGGGAAACAAUCCUCAAGCCUCUUGGGUUAUCUUGAUAAAAUUGGAAAAUUGAGAUACUUGGGAGACAUAUAUGAUGAUUAGGAACUUUGUGGACCAUUGUUAUGCUUUUUCUCAUCUUCAUCUAGCCAUUUCAUUGGGCUUAGGAGCCUCCUAGGAGCAUCGGAGCACAUGAUCACUUGAGCUUCAAAACAAAAAGAGUUAGUGACAUAUUUUUGUGCUUUUGGUUAGUAAUCAAAUAAGAAAAGGAAUAAUAUACAAUACAAGCAUGCUUGGUGGUCUCAAAACACUCAAACAAGUCCCAACCCUAGGGUUAAGGAGCCAAACAUGCUAUGAUCCUUGAGGCAAUGGACUUGUGCAAUAACAUGACGCCAUGAGGGAUCUUAGGGUCAAAAUUAGGGUCUUACAUGUUGUAGGUAUUAUGGUUUCCAAAAGAGUAUUGUGUUAAGAGUAUCAUCAUCAAGGGCUGCCCCAACCUUCCCAAAUCUCAAAUUUUUAUUUGAGGCACAUGCGGAAAAAUUUCUCAAGCUAGUGGAUUACCAUAUUGUGAAGGAAAGAGCAUUUGAUCUAAAUGAUUUGCGAGGUUUUUAGGAAAUAGGAGAUAAUUUUCAACAAUGGAAAUGUGUAAGUUUUAAUAAUUUGAUUCAUGAAACUAAUAAGAGUAUUGGUUUAAAAUUUACGUGAACACAACGUUUGGUGCUUUGGAAUCCUAUACCUCCUAUGUACAAGGUAAGUAUAUUUACUAUUCUCCUUCAACUAUAAACGCUCUUUUCAAUUUACAACCUCCUCCAGUUUGUGCUCUUGUGAACUAUAGGCAAGAGCACAAGGUCACAAAUGAGAAAAUGGCCCAUGUAAUGCUAGAUCUUUUUUGUAGACCAAAUGCAGCAUGGGUAAUCGAGUGUGGGUUAACACUAUGUCUCAAAACGUCUGAGUUCCGCCAAAUUCCUAGGGUGUGGGCCUCUUAUUUUAUUCAAACUUUAGAGGCCGCAUAUAAUCGAUCAUAAUUCAUUGUGAAGAGGUGUUUAGGUUUAUUAGCUCUCUUGAGGGAAGAACCUAUUAAUUUGGGUGUAGUUAAUUACUAAAAAUAUCAAAUAUAGGGCUAACGCUGCACAAAAGGCUUGGGAGCAUUUUUGUGUGAUUAAUGAAUUAUGCAGGAGAGCAGGUGUGGUAGUUUACCCUGAUGAUGAAAUGUUCAUUCUGAAAUCACCACUCAACGCUUCAGCAAUAAGGAAGUUAUAAAACAUGCAUCAAGGAGAAGUUGAUCAACAUGAUCAAGAAUAAAAUCAACAAGGUAAUGAUGAAGAAUUCAACCAACCACAAGAACAACAUCAACCACAAUCAAUUCAAGGUCAACAAGCAUCCAAAUUUCAAAGGAGGAUGAAAGCUCACGAAAUAGGGGUUACAAGGUGGAUAACGGAAGUUUCACCCACUUUGUAUGCUGAACCUCCGAGGUUCGCACCAAUGUUCAAAGAAUUCCAUGAACAACAAAUCGACCAUAUGUCAACUAAUAUUUUAAAAGCCCAGUUUGCAUCAGCUAAAGACAUGGAGAAUUACUUCACAUACCAAGAUCAAGAGCAGGAAAGGAGAAGAGACCGCAUUCGUGCAGAAUGGACAAGGCAAAAUAAUGAAUUCAACAAUAUAAUGCACGAUAUGCAUGAUCUUUUCCGCCAUAAUAACAUGUGAAAAGACAUGCAGUUUAUUUUUAAUUUUUAGAAGACUUCAAUUUUUUUAAAGUGUAACCUAGAGAAGAGAUAUAGUUAUCAUAAGUUCUCAUCCUCUCCUAGUGUAUUAUCCAAAUCAACUGUCAUUAACAAACAAGUUUGUAGUUGUUUUGUUUCUUUCAGAUUGCAGGUUUAGAACUUUAGUAUUGAAAAAAUGAUCCAAAAGAAUCUUGAUCAUCACAAUAACAACUAGAAACUUGAAGGUGAAGGAUGAGAAAAGAAUCAACAGACUUGUACUCAUCCUACAUAUACCUCAUCUAGUAAGGUUUGAGCCAAAUAUGUCCAUUGUUCAUUUUUCUUUCUUUAUGAGUGUAUCCAUGCAUUAUUCUUUUAUCUGGUUUGAUCUAUUUCCAAUUAAGUUAUAUGAUUUGAAUAACACACUGAGGAAUUUUUUUUUAUAACUUUGAGCCUUUGUAAACCACCCUUUAGUAAUAGGUAUAUCCAUUGCUAAACACUUUGAGCCUAAGCUUUCUUUCGAUGAUGUAGCCAAAAAAAGUCUUAGACAUUUUACUUGAAAAAUAUUUUCUUUCCAUCCUCUCUUUAGAGUUAGGUAGAAGUAUAGUAUUAAAGUAUAUGCAAAAGAUUAAGUUUGGGGCUGCUCUUGGAAGUGGGCAAAGUUUUAAGUUUAGGGUUGGGGUACUAGAGAAUAUGAUCUAAAAUUUAAAUUUAAAAAAUAAUUGUUAUGAAAAAGAAGUGGAAAAAGACACUUCUUCAAAAAAUGAAUGAGAAAAGAAAAGAAUGAUAUUAUAAGAAGGAUCAAAAGUCUAUAGUACGAGCAAAAAGGAACAAAGAGUUAUAUAGAAGGAUAACUAGGAGCCUAACUCCAAAGGUUUAACCCUAAUUUCCUAAAAAUAUCAUACUCUAACAUUAGCCAAGUUAUAACCUGAAAAUUUAACUAAUGUGGGUGUUGAUUGAGAGAUCACGCUAUCCAUUGAUUUCUAUGAUUGACUUUAUUAGAACAUAUUCAAGCUAAGUUAAUUGAUUUUUUGUGUUGCUUGAGAGAUCACACUCCCCAUUGAGUGAGUUAUAGUGAUCUGAGAAACAGGUUGAGUACUCAUCAAUGUUGAGGACAUUUUCCGAAUUCCCCUGAUAGAAAUUGGGAUCUAGAACAAUGGUCAGGUAAAAAGAAAUAUUUAAUUUAGUGAUGUUUGAUUGUUAUUAUGCGACUCGUUGUCUAUUGAAAUAUGCAGUUGCAGGCAAUUUACUUGAGGACAGGCAAUAAUUCAAGUUUGGGGUUGUGAUGAUAGUCCGUCAUUGCAUAUAUUUAGUCGAAGAAUCGGGGCAAAACAAGUGAAAGUCUUGCAUAUAUGAGGAAGAAUGACCAAAGAAUGAAGGAAAAAUAGUUUGGUGCGCAAAUUGUGGACUAGUGAAAAUUUGAGUGAAAAAGGAGCAAAAAAGAGCGAAGCUUCAGAAAUAAUUACAUCCACAAUCGCGCAACAUCGCAUACUCGAUAGGGAAUCAAAAGCUGCAUCGCAAUGUAAGGUAUCACACGCGCGAUGGUCACUUUUUUGGGCCUUUUUCUAACGCACUCUGAUCCAUUCUGACAUCUUUAAAAGGGGAUUUUAUGCACUUUCACAAGGGUUGUGAUUUGGGAGAUUGAAGCACGAAUUAAAGAGCACAAGUGGUGAUUUUUGGAGUAUUUGAAGCCAUUUGAGGCCAUCUCUUCAAGGGACGUCUUAUGUUAUCAUUGUUUAUCAAUUGUGGUAUUUUUAAGUACACUAUGAGUACCUAAAUUCUUCUAGGUUAGGUUGUGUUAUGAUAAACCUGUUUCUAAAUUGUCAAAUUUUAUGUUCAUUUGACCACUGUAUGAACCUAUUGAUCUAUGAUAUUAUUUAAUUGCUUUUUAUUUGUAAUGAUUUUCAUGUGAGAUACUCUUUUAAUCUGAUUUUGGGUACAUAGGGAAUAUGACCAUUAGUCUAUAUGUUGGACCUAGGGCAAUUGUUGUACUUACGCUGGUUGAAUAAGGAUAGGAGACCCCGGGUAGUGGCAUACAUAAUUAACAUUUUAUACAUCGUCUAACGCUGCUUACGAUGACGGACUAGGAAUAGAAAGCUCGGAGUAGUAGUUAGUGAGUUAUUUUGUAAGGGGUCAACUAUAACAUUUUUGUUAAUUCGCCUUGUGGUAAUAGUGCUUAGAAAAUUCAUACAUGACAUCAAACAUCAACAAGAUAUGAAUAUGGGAUUCUACAAUACAACCUGACCUCUUUCGUGACAUUAUUUACCCGUUUAUUUAGUUUUCACACUAAAACUCGAAACCUCCCCCCUUUUUAUUAGUUUUUAUAUAUUGCACACAUUUUGUCUUGCUUGGAGGCAGUACCUGUGGAUUUAAUCUUUUUAUUAGUUUGACGUUAUCGGUACACUUUCUGGGAAUUCAUCAGGAGGAACAACUUAUUAGUAAACUAGUUAAAGUGGCCAAAGAUUCUCAAAGUGGUUUAUCAAGUUGUUACUCCAAAUCAAUCUAAAGAAUUAUGGUUUUAUGGACACUAGUAAUAUCCUAGGAUGAUGACAUUUAACUUAAAGAUACAUCAUUCCUUAUCCAUAAGAAGAACAUGGAGCUUCAGAGUGUGAAAGUGAGGAGGUGUAAAAUCUCGCCUGAUUGUGUCUGCAUGAUCAAUGUUUUGUAAAAACACAUGGGCGUUUCAUAAAAUAGUAUGGCUAAAUCGCACACUCACUAAAAGUGUUUUUGAAGACUCUAUUUUUCAAAUAAAAACAUCUAAAAUGUUUUUGGAGCAUAAAGAGAUGAUUUGAGAAUUUUUAGAUUGAUUAGGGGAAAUUUUUGAACUGCCUAAUCGAGUAGACCAAAUUCUUAAUCGAUUAGAUAAGGGUAAAACAAGUCUAUAAUUGAUCCUGAUAAAUUGUCCAUGUGUUUCUUCCUUUUUUGAAUCAUCCUCUAGCCUAUAAAUAGAGGUAUUCCCCUUCAUUUCUUUUCAUCCAGAAUAUGUGAGAUUUCUCUCUCUCUCUCUCUCUCUCUCUCUCUCUCUCUCUCUCUCUCCUCUUAUAUUAGUAUAUAUAUAUAUAUAUAUUAUAUAUAUAUAUAUAUAUAUAUAUAAUAUAUAAUAUAUAUAUAUAUAUAUAUAUAUAUAUAUAUUAUAUAUAUAUUAUAUUAUAUAUAUAUAUAUUAUAUAUAUAUAUAUAUAUAUAAUAUAUAUAUACUUAAUAUAUUAUAUAUAUAUAUAUCAAUGUCUCUCUAAAAUAUUGUCACUUCUCUCACAUAUUUUUAGCCAUAGCGCUUGAGAAAAGUUCUUGUAUUUAGUGUAGAAGUUUGUUCUGGAAGGAGUAUCAUUGUAAAUUCACAAAGAGUUAUUUUCCUCUUGGGUGAAUUAUUCUUCCUUAGGAAGUGGUUGUUUGGGUUUGGAGUUAAACCUAUUAAAAGCUCUUUUGGGGGAUUAGUAUUAGUCUCUAUGUGAUUUGUGAGUUAAACCUAUUAAACUCUCUAUUUGGGUUCAUACAGAAUAACUAGUGAAAAUAUUCACACACCAGUUCUUGAGAUCAGCCUUGUACAAAAGCUCGGCUAAUACGAGCUCAACCUGGUAAAAAUAUCAGUUUGGGUCGUGGUCAUCCCAGUAUAAAACCUUGGUUCGGUUCAAAGGAUAGUCAGUUCAAAACUCCACCUUGGUUUGAGAUAAGUUCGUGCAAAAUCUCUAUUUGACUUAGAGACUAACCACUCGAAGCUUUAUUCCUUGUUUGACGUAAAGACUAACUGCUCCAUUCCAUUGUUCGUUGUUUGACGUAAAGACUAACUACUCCAUUCUAUUGUUCAUUAUUUGGCUGGAAGUUUUUCCUGAAACUUCAUUUUUCCUUGUAUAAGGGGGUUUAUGGGCUUAACCUUCUAAAAGCUCUCAAGAAUGAUUGGAUACUCCCAAGAGAAAUUCUUAGGGAGUGUAAUAGGUUACUUAUUUAAGACCGAGCCUCUAUAAAUAUCAUGUGUUAUCUCUCUUCCCUUAACUCCUUUAUUUUUUGCAUAUUUUCUUUUCGCUUAAUUUCCACUACUUAUAUAGACGUUAUUAAGAAAUUGUUUUUGAAAUUUGCUUUAGUUUUUUUUUAAAAACCAAUGUCUUUCAAACCCCACAAUUCACUCAUCCUCUUGUGUGUAGAGUCAUAUAUUCAACACUAUUGUUAUCUAGGUUGGCUAUCGAUUCACAACAAAGGAUCGAUCCACCAAAAAAUUAUUAAAUUUUGAGAAGAGGUGAAAUAAUUUGUUAGGAGAGCCCCUGCUUAUUUUGAACAUCACUUGGUGUUUUUUUGGCCCUUUUAAUUGAGUGUACAUCAAUGUUGAUUGUUGUGCCAUUUUUGUGAAGAUUCAUUUGAGUUUAUACCAUAUUUCUACAUUUGAUUCACAUCUGGUACUACUUUCAUUAUGAUGUACUCUGUUAUAGGAGAUGGAUGAGGACGAUGAACUUUGUUGUGUUUUGAUUGUAAGUAGUAAGCAUAAAAAGUAUUUUGAAUAAGGAAAAUAAUGUGCUCACAUAUUACAAAUAGUUGUUAGAAAGAAUAAUAAUUUAUUAAUAUUUAUUAAAUAUUAAAGAUUACUUUUUGAAAAGUUUAGGUGUAGUAGAAUAAUUGAAGAAAUCCUUGGGGGCGAGGCCGAGAGGCGCACACUUUGUCCUUCCCGAGUCGUCCUUGUAUUAGUUUGAUCUUCCUUCGUCUGGUUUGAUAGCCUCUUAUAUGGUUCCUCCCUUUACUUCCCAUUUCUUUGUCUGUAAUGUGCAAUUGUGGAUGGAUCGUGUAUUGGGCCAAUAGUCGAUACCUAGGAAUUUGUGGGGCUUAAAUAUCUCUCAUGAACUUCUAGGUAUCAACCACCCACUCUCACGAGGGUUGCUAUAAUCUAGGGAGACUUGGCUCAUUCAAUUCAAGACCCUUGGAGAGGUAUAAAUGCAAUAGUACAAUGUUACUAAGCAUUCAAUAUCUAACACAUAGAAAUAACAUAUAGAGAGCUUUUAAGCUCAUCCUAUGGGCUAACUUGCUAAAUAGGGUUGUCUCGCUCAACAAAUUCUCGUCAGAGGGAAUCAACAUAGCCUCACCUAAGGGACUGAACAAAUUCCUAUUAGAGGAACUCAACAUAGUCUUGUCUGAGAGACUCAAUAAAGUCUCUCCUGAUGGACUCAACAAAGUCUCGUCAGGGGGACUCAACAAAGUCUCGAAUGAGGGAUGCAGCAAAGCUCUUCAUCCUUUAUAAGACCUUGAGGCAAGGUCGAGAGGCGCAAUUUUUUCCCUUUCCGAGUCGCCCCUAUAUUUGUUCGAGCGCCAUUCAUCUAGUUUUAUAAUGACUUGUCUGGAUUCGUUGCUCGAAUUCCCAUUUCUCUGUCUAUAACAUACGAUCAUGAGUUGAGCAUGUAUUAAGUUAACAAUCAAUACCUAUGACGUAGUGGGGUUUAACUACCUUUCAUGAAUUUUUGGGUAUCAACCACCCACUCCCGUGAGGGUUGCUAUAUUCUAGGGAGACUUGGGUCAUUUGAUUCAAGACCCCUAGGGAGCUAUAAAUACACCAAUAUUGUGUUACUACGCAUCUAAUCUCUAACACAGAGAAGCCACUUAUAUAGAGUUUCUCCUUUUAUCUUGUGGGAUAGAUCUAUUCCUCAAUAAAUCCUAAAGUAAAUUAUCUUGUAGUAGACGCCAUGUUCCCCUACAACAACAUCCUAGGGAGACCCGUCCUCAAUUUGUUGGGGGAAAUAUUAUCCACAUUCCAUCUAAGCUUAAAAUAUUCAUGAUUUAAUGGGAGUGUGGGUACGGUCAAGGGAGACCGGGCAGUCGCCCAAGAAUUUAACCUAAAUUGCUUGAAAGUAGUGAGGGAACCCUUCACCCUAGCUGCAAUCCCUCGCCCUGAAAUGGUUGAGUAUGAUAUGAAAAGUUGAGACACAAUAUUGGGAAUAUAAAGUUAAAGGCUUACUCCAUCAGAUAUUUGAAAAAGGUCUAUAUCAGGCCCUUACGUCACCGAGUUCCCAAGAUGGGCACCUAGUUGUUUGAAUAUGAAGAGGAAGAUUUGAUCGCCAUACUCAAGAAGAAUGUUGACCUAUUCGCCUAGGAGACCUUAAAUAUGAAUGAAAUAGACACCAUAAGGGUGUGUCAUUGCCUCUCCAUAGACCCAUCGAUCAAUCUGGUGUCUUAGAUAAAACACAAGGUUGGCGAAGAAAAGAGAAUAACCAUUGACGAGGAAGUCCAAAAGCUGGCAAGUGCCAGUUUAUAACAGAUAUUAAAUACCCUUUGUUGGUGACUAAUGUUGGAACAAGUUCGGUUCUACAACUAUCCUGAAGUUUUAAUGAUAGCAAAAUGUAAGAGAAUAGUUUUGUACUCUAACCAGUUUAUUGAGUGUGUAGAAAAAAGUUGGAACAAAUUCUGAUUCUUAACCAAAGAAAAGAGGUGUUUAAACAAGUCAACUCUGAUUUAUCAAAGUCAUCAUUAUGAACAUAUGUUAUCAAGACUGACUCUGAUAUAUAAAGCUUUAACUAUCUACUUGUGAAUUUUUAGGACCCAACAUCCAAAGACUAUGAAGUCUCACCAAAGAUUAUGAAGAUAGACCUUAGAAACGCUACUCAAGCUUCAACAACAAAUAUUAGAAGCCUCUGAAUGAGAGUUGUCAGAAAUUCAAAAAAAUAUCUGAUCUGAUAGAAGUACAAAAUCAAAUCUAUUUUUUCCAUAAAGUAUUGUACUAUGUGUCAAAGAAGUCUUUUGUGUCCAAUCAUCUUCACAAACUACAAGCUACAACGCCACUCUAGUGUUUCAUUUGACGUGAUCUUCUCCAACGAAUACUUAGAGGAUAUUUUCAUCUUCACAUUCAACGAACAUAUUUUGCAUCUAUUUAAAGAGGAGUUUGAAUAUUGAGGAAGGUGACAAACAAAGACUUGAUAUGCGCACUAAACUACGUCAACGCUCACACUCGAAAAGAAAUAAGAAGUGUUGCUUACAUUUAUACAUUAGAAUAAAGAUCAUCGAAUACUCCUGUUAAGUGAAGAACUUGAUUGUAAACUUGUGUAUCUUCUUUUUAGAAGAAUUUGUAAACACAAAAACUGUUAUUUCAAUUUUGAUUGUAAUCCUCAAGCGACUAGGUUAAGUCAGGAUCUAGAGAAGUCAAUAACAGGUUGUUACUAAGGAAUCUUCUUAAGCGAUCAGGUAGGUCAGGUCUUAAGGAGCAAGUGGCCGUCAAUUUUCUUAGCAGACCAGUUGGGUCAGAAACCUGAAGAAAAUCGGGACAUGUUGUCACUGCAUUUAUAAUCGGAUUUGAUUAUUGGAUUAAGUCCUUAUCUAAGGCAAAUCACCCAGGUGGGUGGAUUGGAGGUAACCUUGUUAAUGGCUGAAAUUCUAGUUAUCAGACUUUGGAUGUCACACUGGUUGUUAUGACAUCCAAUUCUGCACAGACAGGGAUUAUGCAGAACUUAACAGUAAGUGCAGUAAAUAACACAAGUAAUUGUUCAACCCCAGUUCAGUCCAACAUGACCUACAUCUUGGGGCUACCAAGCCAGGGAGAAAUCCACAUUUAGAGUAUCAAUUCAAAGCUAAACUCACCCGUUUACAACUUAUCACUUAAUCCCUACCCAAUGCAAUUUCAUCUUACCUAAGAAUCAGAGUUUCCUACUCACUCCCCCUCAAUCACCUCAGUGAUAUAAAGAACACUUUAAGUCACACUUCAAAAAAAACUCUUAUUAUGCUUCACAGCUUAAAUCAAAGUACACAGCACUCACGCUUAAAAGCUUUGAUGACACAACACUACAACUCAAUGAACACCCUAUGCCAAAAAUCAUCUACUUGAUAAUGGCUUGGCUUACAAGAUACGUCUAAUACAAGACUCACAAAAUACAGCAGUGAAGUAUGAUGGACACAUAAAUCACGCCUCAAAAUCCCGAAACUGAAUGAAGGAAUGCCUUUCUUUUAUAUUGCAGCACCUGGGCUUUUUGCACCUGUAUUUUCCUGAAUUUAGGUCACACAAGUUCCCUCAAAUUCAACAUUUAGGUUGCUAACAAAUAGCUAUUUGUUAGGUUCAUUAAUGUAGCUUGGUUGUUGAUUUCCUGGAUUUUCUCUCAGCUGUUGAAUCCUAAAGAAUGCCUGAGAAAAGCUGAAACAGAAAACUGAACAACCUACAAUUUAGCAUAUGCUGUCAGGCACGAAUGUCACGACAUUCAGCUUGACAUCAAGGUCCAUAUGCUGAGUCUGUUUUUCCAGAAAACAGACUGUACAUAUUUGCUGACCUGUACAUGAUCAAAAUGACCUACUACAGUAACAACUUACAUAAUAAAUGUCAAAGUGUCCAACUUAACAUUUAUACAUUUGGCCUUAAGUUAGUUCUGUAUUCUCUUGAAAACAAAACUAAGUUUAUGCUGAAAUAUAGCAGAACACCACUCUGCCUAAUCUUCAGUAGCUGCUGUCAAUGAUAAUGUCACAACAUCCAGUUGACAUUCAGUCAGUAGGUCUUAUGCCAGGUCUGGUUCUUCCUUAUAACCAGACUGCAAAUGAAUACUAAGUUCUAACAGAACUUCUGUUCCUUAGUAUAUGUUGACAGGUCAUGAAUGUCACAGCAUUCAAUAAUCCUGUGUUAGCUAGUCCUGUAGUAACUACAAUGUAGUCACAUAUACAUGUCAUGCAUCAGUCAAGACAUUAGUUUUACCAUAUAAUGCACCAAUCAAACCUACAAAACUCCCCCUUUGUAAAUUUUGGCUAAAAACACUUUGAUCCCCAUAACAGAGUUCAUAGCAGCGGAAUAAUAACUAGCUAUACACUCAGAGUGGCAGCACACUCACACACAUGGAGUUAAAUAAAAACUUCACAUAGCAGCACACACAUAUUAGAAGUUGCACCCAAACUUCAACAUCAGCUGCAGGGGGGGAAUCUUCAGAUCUGUCAUGAGAGUCGUUGAGAGACCCACUCUGUUUGUCAGGGGUAUUGGUGGUUAUUACUCCCCUUUUUGUCAAAAAUGUUGCCAAACCAGCAACAUAGCCAAGACACACUGACAGAGUUCCAGACUUGGUUUUACUUCACAGUUUCAACCAAGUCACAUCCACUUGAUCUUGCUUCACAGCUUCGAUCAAGUAAUCACCCACUUUUGCUACAGUAGGUACCACAUAUCAGAUGCCAUGAUUUGUUUUCUGACAUCCAGAACCACUUCCUGCAUGAACAGCAUCCUUGAAACUCCUGGGUUACAAGUGGCCCUUCUCUCUGUAGGUGUCUCCUUACCCUCUUGUAUCCACACUUGUUGUAAGCAGCAUAGCUAUAAUCUGUUGACCCAUCAUAGCCUAGUACAAAAUUGUUUAAUAGGCAGAGAUAUUAAACAAUUUAUCCCAAACAUCAGUGGUUGCUAUAAGGUCUCAGAGAGACAUAUUCCCAGUUUGCUCCUUAAGUUUUCAAACUGAGUAGCAUCCAGAAGCCUUUGUAAAUAUGUCAGCCAGUGAAGAUCCGUGGCUACAUUUCCAAAGUGAUCACCUUUGUCUUUCCACCAGAUCUCUGAUGAAUGUGGCCUAAUGUCAAUAUGUUUGGUCCUGCUGUGUUGGAUGGGAUUCUUGGAGAUAUUGAUGCACUGAGAUUAUCACAGAACAAUGUCAUGACAUUUUGAGAGACAUUGUACUCAGUGAGCAUCUGUUUCAUCCAGACCAUUGGAGCAACUGCUUCCUGCAACUAUGUAUUCAGCCUCUGCAGUGGACAGAGAGACACAAUUCUGCUUCUUGCUGAACCACGAUAUGAGGUUUUCUCCUAAGAAGAAACAUCCACCCUGAUGUGCUUUUUCUUGUCAUCAGCACUUCCAGCCCAAUCAGCAUCACAGUAACCCAGAUAGGACAGGCUCAGACGCCAUGUGUAAUACAGCAUCCAUAGUCAUCACGUCCCAUUGAUGUACUGUGAGAUACCUUUUGACUUGAUUCAAAGUGGGCUCACCCUUGGGGGUCUGCUUGGUAUUUCUGGGCACCACUCCAACUGCAUAAGUAAAAAUGUCAGGUCUACUUGCAGUUAGAUAAAACAGACUACCUAUCAUGCUUUUGUACAGGCAAUUGAUCGACACUAGGUCCUCCAUCAUCUUUGGUUAACUUCAGAUGAGUAGGAGCAGAUUCCUCUUGUGCCUGGCAUUAUCCAUACCAAACUUAUUAACUAUGGUUCUUGGCAUAACUUGCUUUGGGAGAGAAACAAUAGAGUCCUCCAUUUGGUUUUACUUGCAUUCAAGGAAAUAGGUCAGUUCUCCCAUAGAACUCAUUUCAAACUCAAACUGCAUUCUGGUGAACAAAUUUGUUAAACAUUUUGUUCUGAACAUUCACCAAAGACUAUAUCAUCAACAUAUAUUUAAGCUAUCAUAUUUUUGCCUUCUUCAUCCUUCCAAACAAAGUUUUUGUCUAGCCACCCUUGUCUGAUCAUUUGUGGUCAGAAAUUCGGUUAACCCUUUCAUACAAGCUCUGGGUUGCUUGCUUCAACCGUACAAGGCUUUCUUCAACUUUGUAUACAUGCUCAGGUUGGUUAGGAUCACAGAAAACCCUUUGGGUUUGUUCCACAUAGACUUCUUCAUUCAGGGUAGCCAUUCAAAAUGCACUCUUCCAUCCAUUUGGAAUGCUUAAACUUCAGGAUGCAUGCUACCCCCAAAGCAAUCUGAUGGACUCAAGUCUAGCCACAGGAGCAAAUGUCUCAUCAAAGUCUACUCCUUCAACUUGAGUGUAUCCUUGAGCUACUAUUCUUGCUUUAUUUCUAGUAAUUACUCCUUUCCAUCAGAUUUGUUUUUGUAGAUCAACUUGGUACCAUGAUGUUGGACCCCUUCAGGUCUUGGAACCAGCUCCCCAUACUUCAUGCCUUGUAGAACUGCUCGAGUUCCUCUUGCAUGGCAAUGAUCCAUAUUCAUCAGUCAGGGCUUCUCUUUCACAUUCUUUGUUCAAACCUUGGAAACAAAAGCAGGAAUUUGAGUUUAUUCCUCUUGACUUGGAGUAAACACCACUGGGUGGAUCCCCUAUGAUAAGAUCCCUUAGGGUGGUCUUUCUGAAUUCUGAAGAAUGGCACUUUGGUGGGGCCCCUCUAACUUUUCACAUUUCAGGAGAAGGUUCCUGUACUUCUUCAGACUUGAAACUGACGAUGCAGUGGACUGUCAAGGAAUGGUUUCAAACAAUUCCCUCCAUGACAUCGGGUUCCUUCCUCUUUAUCAUCCACAAUGACAUUUAAUGGACUCCAUCAGGACAUGGUCCUGUAGUUGAACACUCUGUAGGCUCUGCUGUUAGUGGAGUAUCCCAGAAAUACGCCUUCAUCACUUUUGGAUCUAGCUUUCCUUCUUGUUCACGGAUCUGUGAGAAUGUAGACAUUUAGCUUCCAAAAAUUUGAAAAGUACUGUCACAGUGGGUUUUUCUGCCCUUCCAUAAUUCAUACAGAGUGGAGGAGGUUUCCUUUUCUCAAGGUGACUCUGUUGUGAACAUACACGCGGUAUUCAUUGCUCAAGCCCAAAAGUUGCAUAGGGAGCUUCUUUGCAUGAACAUUGCUCUGGCAGUAUUCUUGAAUAGUUCUAUUUUUUUCUUUCAACUAUUUCAUUCUUGCUGAGAGUUAUAGGGGAGGAGAACUCAUGGCUUAUCCUUUCAGAUGAGCAAAAACUCAUCAAACUUGGAAUUCUUGAAUUCAGUACCCAUUGAUCACUUCUAAUCCGGACCACACAAACUGUCCUUUCCCUUUGAAGUCUUAUGCACAAGAUCUUUGAAACAUCAAAUGUAUCUGACUUCUCUCUGAUGAAGCUUAUCCACUGUAUCUGGAAAUGUUCAUCAAACCACCACGUAAAGCUACUUCUUCCACCCAAGACUUUCAACCUGCAUAAGGUCCCAUUAAGUCCAUGUGCAAACAGUUCCAAACUCGGAGGUUGUGGAUGUCCCAGCUUCGGGUGUGACAUCUUGGUUUGCUUGCCCACUUGGCAUUCUCCACAGACUCUUCCUUCAUCAAUCAGAAGCUUUGGUAUUCCUCUGACUGCUUCCUUGGAAUUGAUUCUUCUUCAUCCCCGUAGUGGAGAUGUCCAAAAGUCUUCUAUCGCACACUUCACCUCCUGUUCUUCCUUGGCUGGGAAGGGCAUGUUGUGGAAAAGUUAGAAAGAGAUCAGGUUCCCACAGGUAGCAGUUGUCUUUGCGGGACCUCUUCCGUCUCAUAACUUCCUGAUUGUCACCAUUUGUUUACAAUGCACAGCUCCUUAGUAAACUGAACAUGAAAACCUUGAUCACACAGCUGACUUAUGCUGAUGAGUUUGCAGUUAGUCCUCUUACUAAACAGCACAUUGUUCAGGUUUGGCACUCCAGAACAGUCCAGUUUGCCCACACCUCUUAUUUUUCCUUUGGCACCAUCACCAAAAACACCAUAGCUGUAGUGUGAGGUUUGAAAUAUCUACCAGUAGAUUUUCCAUACCAGUCAUAUGUCUUGAGCAUCCGCUGUUCAAAGUACCAGUCUUCUCUGGAAGAAGCCCUUAGGCAGUAUGUGCUAUCCUAGCAUACCAUUGUUGCUUCGUAAUGAAACACAUCGCUUACGUUUUAUGCUUAGGUCUGACAUGUGAGGCUUCUGUUAGGGAAACCAUGAAUCCAGUAGCAGAAGGCUUUAUAUGUCCAAGCCUGCCACAGUGGUGACACCUCCAAUCUGGUAUUUCCUUCUUGAUGAUCAUUCAUCCUAGCCCCUCGAUGUUGAGACAUUGGCUUUGACAUCUGCUUGAACUUCUGAAACUCUAGCCUUUGGGCGUUUGUGUUCAGCUCUUUUUCCAAAUCCUAGCCCAGAAUUGGUUCCAGGACUGCUGUGCCCACUUUUAGGGGAAAAAUUUCUUUUCCAAGUUCAUUCCCGUAUUUUCAUCAUUCUGAUGGAUUUGGUCAUCUGGUUCAGCUUGGAGGUCAGCAGGGCUAUCUCAUCAUUUAGCCCCUCUAUGGCAGACAGUUGCUUCUGUCUCUCAUCUUCCAGUUCCUUGACAUGUGGGUACCUAAAGAUAAAAUAAUCUAUUUUGUAGACAUCUUUAGUAGCAGAGUUGAAACACCAUUCAUGGUACCUGGACUCUGGAUGCUUACUAUACAUAAUGAGAAUAAAGCAUAUGUUCCCAAGUCUGGAACUUAAGCCUGUAGGCACUAUAGAUUUUAGAGGCAAUCAAAAAGAGGAUCUCCUAUACAUUCUUGAUUCUAAAAGUUCAAUUGUAUCAUGUUAGAAUACUUCGAACGCUAAAAAGGAUACAAAGUUUAUAACACUGAAACCAAUAUGAUUGGGGAAUAAAUUCAUGUUAAGUUUGAUGAUAAACAUGACCCUUAAAAGUCAAAGUUAGAUGAAAAACUUGCAUAUCUAAAGAUCAUAUUCUCAAACUCUGAGGGUGUUCAACUUGAAACAAAAUAAUUAGCAUCCGAAGCUAUUGAUUUAUCAGAUGAUGUUGACACACCAUCACCUCAUAAGAAGCUUAAGCAAAGACUCUCUUACUCUGAAGAACUUAUUCUUGGUGACAAGUCAAAACCAGAUCUUUAUUCAGGUAAGAUGAAGAGAAUCUUCUAGGAUUGGUGUCUAUCAUAGAAGCAACAUCCAUUAAUGAAACUCUUCUACACUCUGAAUGGAUUUUGGUAAUGCAAGAAGAACUCAAUCAAUUUUCUAGAAAUUAUGUGUGGGAUGUAGUUCCAAAACCAAAAGAAAAAACAUGUCAUUGGAACCAAAUGGGUCUUCAUGAAAACGUUGAAUGUGCAAGGAGAAGUGGCAAGGAACAAUGCCAAACUAGUUGUACAAGGCUAUAGUCAACAAGAAGAAAUUGACUAUACUGAUACUUUUUCAUCAGUUUCCAGGUUAUUAUUUAUUCGUCUUUUAACUUAAUUUGUUGUUAAUCAUAUUAUUAUAUUAUAUCAAAUGGAUGUUAAAAGCGUAUUUUUGAAUGGUUACAUAACUGAAGAAUUUUACGUCCAUCAACCUCCUGGUUUUGAAAAUCAUAAAAAUAUUGACUUUGUUUAUAAACAUAAGAAAUCUUUGUAUGAUAUGAAACAAGCGCUCAGAGCUUGGUAUGAAAUACUUGACAAUUUUCUUUUGGAAAAUAUUUUUUCAAGAGGAAAAUUGGAUACAACCUUAUUCUGUAAAACCUUCAAAAAUUAUCUUUUAAUAGUUCAAAUAUUUGUUGAUGAUAUCGAAAAGAAAAUAGGAUAUAACCUGGAAGUUUACAUUGAUGACAUAAUCGUGAAGAUGUUAGAAGGGGGAAUCCAUGCAGCAGACUUGGAAAAUAUCUCAAUUUCAGUCAGAAAUUACAACAUGCUCCUUUGGCGUGCAGACGGGAAAGUUCUUGAAAUUUUUGCUCACCAAGCAGGGCAUAAAGGUGAAUAUUUAUAAAUUCUAAGCCAUUAUAGACAUGCAAAACCCUUCCAAUGUCAAGGAGGUUCAUCAACUAACCGGGCACUUAACCGCUCUUUCUCGUUUUAUUUCCUGUCCAGGUGUCAAAGCAUUCCACUUCUUCGCCAUGUUGAAGAAGAAGGAAAGGUUUGAGUGAAAUAAUGAAUGCGAGCGGGUGUUUUCUAAGCUAAAGUCUUUCUUAAUGUUUCCUCCUAUUUUGACAUGCCCAAUUGCAGGUUCCCUGUUAUAUCUCUACGUGGCUGCCACUCGCCAAACAUUAAGCUGGUUACUUGUUCAAGAAACAGAUAAGGUGGAGCAACCUGCAUGUUUCACAAGCAAAGUGUUAAGGGAAACACAGGUCCACUAUCAAAAGAUAGAAAUGCUCUCAUUGGCGGAGAUGGUGAUCGCAAGCAAUGUUAAGCCUUAUUUUCAAGGACACUGAAUAUUAGUAAAGAUAGACUAUCAUGUACACCUGGUUCUUAAGAAGUCAUACCUCACCAGAAGAAUGGUAUCUUGGGCAUUCAAACUAUAUGAAUUUGAAAUUCAAUACACUCCUAGAGGCAUUAAAAAAUCAUAGAUCUUGACGAACUUUAUGGUUGAGUUUAGCAUGCCCACCAGUGAAGAGGUCUCCCUUGCCUGGAUCCUCUUAGUGGAUGGAGCCUCUAACAUCAAAGGAAGUGGCACUAGGAUUGUGCUAGUGGGACUAGAGGGCUUACUGAUCUAACAAUCAUUGAAGUUUAAAUUUAAGACUAGUAACAACAAAGCUGGAUAUGAAGCCCUCAUCCUCGACAUGACACUCGCCUUAGAAGUAAGUGUGCCGAACCUUCAAGCUAGAAGUGACUCUUAACUAAUGGCAAGCCAAUUUUAUGGAAAGUACUGGACAAAGAAUCCUCAGCUCGUUAGAUACUUAAAGAAGGUACGAGACUUCUUCAAAUGUUUCAAAAAGUUUGAAAUAGGGCAUGUUCCUAGGGAAUAUAACUUCAAGAAAGACCUGUUGUCCAAGUUGGCUAGCUAAAAGAAAGUAAGAUUCUACCAUAUUGUAAAACAGGAAACACUUGUCAUCCCUAAAAUAGAAGCAUAGGAGGAAAAUUCGAUUGGCAUCACCCGAACUGGCGGUUUGAUGGCACACAUAAUCCAUUAUCUACAAUCAGUCUAAUUACCGUAAAAUGCGUUAAAAGCAAAGAAAAUCCGCAAGCACGCUGUGAAUUACGUUCUUAUGUACAAAAGUCUCUACAAAAUGGGAAGGCCACUCCCAUGUUGAGAUGUUUGGGGAAUAAGAGACUGCCCUGGUUUUAGACGAAGACCACCAAUGGGAUUUUGCUAGCCAUAUGGGUGGACGAGCCUUGAGCCACAAGAUAUUAAUAACAGGUUAUCUCUGGCCCUCUUUAACGAAGGACAAAAUAUAUUUAUUUAAAAUAUGUGACAAAUUCUAAAGACAUGCCAAUAUACACCAUGUGCAAUCCAAGAUUCUACAUUUUGUAUCAACAGUUUGGAAUUAUUACCAGUGGGACAUGGAUAUUCUAGGGUCUUUUCCCAUGCUCCCAACCAACCAAAAUUCUUGAUUGUCAGAGUUGGUUAAUUCAUGAAAUGGGUAGAAGAAGAGGAUGUGUCCAAGAUAACAGCAGAAAGAGUCCACCACUUUAUUGACAAAGAUUAUGUGUAGGUUUGGUUUUCCAGGAGUAAUUUUCUCAAACAAUGGAAUGCAAUUCAUUAAUAUCACUAUAAUUGGUUUCCGCAAAGAUAUUGGGGGGGGGGUACAAACUAAAUCCGUAUACAUCAUUCAUCCAUAGGAAAAUGUACAAGCAGAGUCGACUAACAAUGUAAUAUUGAAAAGGAUAAAAAAGAAACUGGAUGAGGCCAAAGGUUUGUGACCUGAGCAAUUGAAUGAAGUACUAUGGUCAUACCACACAACCCCUAAUUCCACCAUGGGAUAAAAUACUUUUACAUUAGUAUACAAGGUAGAUACCAUGCUACCAGUCGAAAUCGACACGCCAACAUGACAACACUCCAACUUCAACAAAGAGGAAACCGGAGAAGGGCUCAAAUGUAAUGCUGACCAAGUGGAAGAAAUAAGGGUUGUCACCCAUAUUCAAGUAUUAGCAACUAAACAGAUAGCACCCAAGAGAUACAACUCCAGGGUAAUUUGAAGAGAGAUACAUGAAGGCAAUUUAGUACUAUGACAUGUCGUAGUUGUCGUACCCCAAAAUUUGCCCUACUUUUUUUAAUUCGUAUGACUUAUGGUUUUGUUCAUUUGCACACUUUUCUAUUUGAUCAUGCAAUCAUCGAUAUUUAUAUAUGGUAACAAAUUUAGGCCAAAGGUUCAAUGAUAAUAGAUUUAAUCGGCUUAAGUGGAUUUUCGAGGUGGACAUUAUUUGGUAAUUAUUCGGGUUUAUUUCCCGUAUUACUUGUGGUGGUGAUCAUUUCUUUAUUUGAGAUUCAUGGUUAUUAGGAGAGAUUGAAAUGAUCAUCCAUUAAUUCGGAGGUUGGCUUGGAUUCAAAGGAAAGGGAAAAGUUGGAAUAAAAGGGAAAUUUCAUUCAUUUAGUGGAAAAUAUCACUUCUCAAAAGUACUAAAAGUUAUGGGUUAAGCCACUCAAGAUUCAAGCCAAAAGUGGUAGAAAAAUCAAGGCAAAUGCAUGAAAAUUCAAGUUCAAUUACUAGUGACUUUUUGCCUUACAUCCUAACUUGGUACUUUUGCUAAACUCCAACACCAUUGGUCUUUAACUACCCUUAAAUACCUAUUUCUCCACAAGUCAUCAAUUCACCUAUCAUAACUUCCAAACUAACAUAAAACUUCCAAACAAACACAAAUCUCAACUUCCAUUAUUUUCACUCAAUCCUAGUCACUCUUAACAAUUAAUCCUAUGGUUGGAAUUGGUGAUCCGCAACUAAGGAUUAAAUUAACUUCUAACCAUUGAUAAACCAAUUACUUGGAUCACAAUUCAAUGGUGAUCAUUUACCUACCAAGUCUAUAUAAACAUGUUAUUUCUCAUAACUUUGCCCUUAGCUAAUAUCAUUAACCUAACUUCGAAAAUUCACAAUUAACCAUUAUUUUUCCACCAUUUUUAUUCUAUUCCCUCUCAAUUUCUCUCUCAAUAUUCAUCUUCUCCCUCACCCUCACUAAAGUUCAUUUUCAUCACCAUCUAGAAUUUCAAAUUGAAGUUCUAAAAUGGUGGAACUUAGCCAUCAAUAAUUUCUAUAUUAUCAUCAACAAUUAUCAAUCAACAAUUCAAGCAUUAUCAUCAAAAAUCAUCCAUCAACAAUUUCUACAACAAUCAUCAUCUAAAAUUUAUCAAGAUUUAUCAACAAUCAUCAUGCAAAGUUCAUCAACUCAAGUUUAUUCAUCAAUCUUCUACAUUUAUAUUUCAUCUUCUACAUUCACUCAUCAUCAAGAAUAAUAAUCAAAGCUUGGAAGUUAAUUGAAUUAAUGGAGCUUAUUCUUGAAGUUUUUUGAAUUUCUUUUCGGUGCUCCGAUUUUCAACACUAACCGGAGCAAAUAUCCGCUCCGUCGGUAAUCAUUUAUCUCUUCCACACCUUUGCCAUGAAUUAUUGGAUUUUUGUCUGUUGAUCAAUUUUAGCUACUACUUUCGAUUUGCUUAUUAGAUAAUUAUUUAUUUUUGCAUGAAACACAUAAAUUUGAAAAUAAUGAUUUUUCAAUUCUUAACUAUUAAUAACAUGUGAAUAUACCAUUUGAAUCGAUUUUUCGUAUUGAUCGCAAAUAUAGAAUUAUGUUUUUUGUUCCGAUGCAUAUUUUAACUGAACCGACUCAUUCUUUAAUCGGUUUUUUCACCCAUUUUUUACUCUUUUCGGUAUAAUUUGUAGUUUGUUUCAUAAUUUGCAGUAUGUAUUUAAUUUUUUUAUAAAAUUAUUGAUUCCAACCAUAUAUUAACUCGUCGAAUUCGAUUCCGUUGACCGUUAUCGAAAGCUUGUCCAAAGCCGAUAUUUUUCUUUCUACUACUACAUGUUGUUCUGUUGUACAUACUGAUAUAGUCUUUUCCUUUUCCUUUUUUAUUUUAAGAUAAUUCGACCAUAUCCCAAAAUUUAUUGGUGCUUACUCCUUUUUCACAUGGCAUGUAGGUUUGUUUCUAUUAGUUUUGAAUUGCACAACUGAAAUCAAUUCUUGUGAUAGAGUUACAUAACUACUUAACGUGGCACUUCAUGCUUUUCUUGUCUUUAAAUUUUAAUUAAUAUUUUUUAUGACUUCAUAAAAAAUGGAUAAAUAAUUAGCCUCUGGACAACCUCCAAUACAAGCUUGAAUGUAGAUCCAUAAUCAUCUCAGAAGUCCACAUUAUGUUGUGAAAAUAGAUUGCAGACUGAUGUUACUAAUGUAAGCUUAGUUUUUUUUAAAAUUUUUAUGACAUUAUUAAUCCCUUGUUACUUAUUAUUAUUACUGUACUAUAAUAGUUUUAUUUAUAAUUUUACUACAUGUCAAUUUUGAAUUGGUACCUAAGUUCAAAUAGAUGUAUGCAUUUUCUUAGAAAAAUUAUCAUGGGCAUGUUCAACUAUUUUUAGGAUAUAAUUCUUUUUCUUAAUUCACAAUUAGAGGUAAUCUAGUUUUGUAUUAAAAAUAGGAUCUUAUUUCUCUAGAUUAAUUAGGUUUAAUUUUCAUAAUUAAAGUUAGAUUAGAAUUAGGAAAUUAGGAUUACAUGUUAGUACUAAUUUCAUUCAUUCUUUCUUUUACUUUUUUUUUUCUUUCAUAAUGUCAUAUUCUUACUGGGUAAAACUUAACUUAAUUCUUAGGAUAAUGCUCUUGUUGAUUUGAUUAGUUGAUCAAAUACCCUUUGAUCAAUUAAUUAAAUUAAUAUUUUUAGGACUAUUUAGUUGCUCUUUUCAAAACAAUUUGCAUGAUCCCUUAGUUUAGGGUUUGCUUAGAAGUAACUGAUUCAUUAACUGAAUAUCCAUUAGAUGGUUGUACAUAGCCCAAUUAAUUUCUUUGAAUUUCAUUCAUUAGUGUUGACCAAAGGUCACUUUGGUCAACCAAAUCAUUUGUAUUGUAUUGUAAUUCCUCAAGCUUAUUCAAGUGAUCAAAAGACUGUUGAUCACUUGAUAGGGCAAGUUCAUUGCGCCCAAGCUAUUGUGGAUAUAUUGAAUCUUAGGAUCUCAAGACCUCAAGGUUCAAGUGCAAGAUCAAGACUUCAAGUCAACAUCAGUCAAGCAUAGCCAACAAAGUGUACUACUCUUAAGCACUACAAGGGUAUCAACACUUGUUAAUCGUAACUCAAAGUGUGUGACACGAGCCUUAAGCAAUAGAGAAGGAAUGAGACUAGAGAAUUCCUACCCCCAUUCUGAAUAUCUUUGGGUAUAGGACGAAAGACCCAGUGCUCAUCAUAUUCACCUCUAUUCAUAGACUUUAGCACAAUUCGAAUUAUUCGAUUGGAAAGACUACACCAACAACUCAUCAAUCAUAAUUCAAAAUGUGUGGCACGAGCCUUAAGCAAUAGGGAAGGGAUGAGACUGGAGUUUUCCUACACUCAUUCUGGAUAUCUUUCGGUGUGGGACGUUUGGCUCGUGGCUCAUCGUAUUCACCUAUAUUCAUAGACUUUAGCACAAUUUGAAUUACAUGAUUGUCGAGUCUUCUUCUACAAUUAGUGAUACAACAUCAAUAGGAUCAACACAAAGUACAUUCUGUCAGCAACUUGUUAAAUUUUAUACAAGUUGCAUGCUAUGAGUCUUAAGAAACAAAGAAUGAUGAGAGUGGAGGAUUCCUAUCCUUGGGUACAGGACGAAUGACCCAGUUACUCAAGGUAUUCGCCUUUGUUCAUAGACUUUAGUGCAAUUUGGAUCAUACAAUUGACAAGUCUUCUUCUUCAAGCAAGUAUCAAUCUUCCAACACCCCAAUAAUGGAACAUAUUUUGCUAUUGGAAACUUGUGGUUAUACAUCCUCUUCUAAUCAAUUCUCUGCCUUGUGAGGUGUUAAACCUUGGCUUUCCAAUCCAGUUAUUUGCCCUGAGAGUCAUGGACUCUGGCACCAUUCUUUGCCUUGUGAGGUGUUAAAUCCUGGCUCUUCGAUUCAGAUCUUUGCCCUGAGAGUCAUGGACUUUGGCAUCUAACUUUCUUUGCCAUGUAAGGUGUUAAACCUUGGCUAUUCGAUUUUGAUCUUUGCCUUAAGGAUCAUGGACUCUGGAAUAUGUUUCUCUUUGCCUUGUGAGGUGUUAAACCUUGACUAUUCUAUUCGAUUCUUCGCCCUGAGAGUCAUGGACUCUGGAAUGAAUUCUCUUUACCUUGUGAGGUGUUAAACCUUGGUUAUUCAAUUCAACUCUAGCCUUGAGAGUCGUGGACUCUGACACUUGAUUAUAUUCGCCCUGUGAGGUAUUAAACCUUGGCAAUUCAAUUCCUUGACAUCAUCAGUUUUAAACUUUGGUAGUGAUACCUUACCUUGAAGGUGAUAAACCUUGGAACCUCUUUUUCAGCCUAGAAGAGUAGUAUACCCUGGCAAAUCAACCACGUUCCCUUUUAUUUCAGCCGUAGUAGGCUGAACUACGAAAGCUCUGAUUUCUUCAUUGCACAAUGAGGAUACGUAGGCAGGAGAAUUCAGAUUCUCUGCAAGCUACCUUAUUUAUUGAUCCUACCUUAUUUAUCAAUCUACCCUAUUUAUCGAUCAAUCAUUCAGCACUCCAUUAGUGAAGUAUCAUUGCGCAUCAAUCAUUUCUUCCUUAGUGGAUCAUUAAUCAUACUCCCUUUGACAUUCAGAUAUCCUUUGGAUCAAUUCCCUUGUAAUCAAGUCUUUGAAUCCUAAGAAAUCAACUCAAUCAUUGUUUGCCUUAUCAGUCCUCUUGUACUUUGGGAAACCCCUAUUCAUUGUGAGUCUUGUCAGUCCUCUUGUGCUUAGGCCCACUCCAGUCAAUCAUUGUUUGCCUCGUCAGUCCUAUUGCGCUUUGGUAAACCCCUUAAUCAUUGUUCGUUUUAUAAGAUCUCUUGUGUUUAGACGAAGCUCUUGCCUUAUAAAUCCUCUCGUGUAUAGGUCAAUCAUUUCAUGAUCAUUCUUCAUCUUAUAAAACCUCCCGUGCUUAGACGAAGCUCUCGCCUUAUAAAUCCUCUUGUGUAUAGGCCAAUCAUUUCAUAAUCAUUAUUUGUCUUAUAAGACCUCUCGUGCUUUGACGAAGCUCUUGCCUUAUAAUUCCUCUCGUGUGUAAGCCAACCAUUUCUUAAUCCUUGUUUGUCUUAUAAGACCUAUCGUGCUUAGACGAAGCUCUUGCCUUAUAAUUCCUCUCGUGUAUAGCCCAAUCAUUUCAUAAUCUUUCUUCGUAUUAUAAGACCUCUCGUGCUGAGACGAAGCUCUCUUACCUUGUAAAUCCUCUCUUGUAUAGGCCAAUCAUAUCUUAUUUGUCCUUGUGGUUGAUCACCAUCUUUGGUUAGUACCACAUUCCUGCUCGUUAAGCAAUCUAACUUGCCUCUGGGCAAUCCUAUCAAAUACCCUUUUAUUUUCAGCCGUAGUAGGCUGAACUAAGAUUGCUCUGAUUUUCUCAUUGCACGAUUAGAAUACGUAGGCACGAGGGUUUGAAUCCUCCGCGAGCAUUCUUAUUUAUUACUCCUUCUUCUGCCUUAGGGCAUCAUUCAUAUCUUUCACGAUCCAUUAUCUACCUUCGGUCAUAAGUCGUUCACCCAAUGACAUACUAUUUCUUUGACAUCGAAAUACAUUUUUCUUUGGAAUUUCAUAUAUACCCUUUUAGGACCAUAUAAUGACGAAUCCACAUUUAUACCUAGAGUUGUUUGGAUUAUUCUCAUACAUUUAAUUCCUUCUUUUUUGGCUCAACCAUACAGUGAUAUCGUGGUGUAGGUCCUCACUUGUGGUUCGGGCCACCUUCCCCCUAUGGUACAAAUUCCAUUUCUCUUAUGGAUUCCGAUGUAUAUCUGACUUUCGGUUUUAAAUCAUACUUCUUCAGUCACUUGUUACCAAACCUUCAUUUCUGUGACUUUGGUCACUUCAUUUUGUUCGUCUCCAUGAUACAUUCAUAUUAUACUGUCAUUCAUUUCAUGUGAUAUACCUUAUUCUCUGAGCCAAAUACAUUAUCUCUUUGUGCUCGAUCUUGUAUAUUUUUGUGAACCAAGAAUUGUUUGGCUUGUACUCACACACCUAAUUCCUCUCUUUUUCGAUUGUUCCAAUAUAGUGAUACUGUGCUGUAGGCCCUCACUUGCUGGUUCAUACCUGUUUACUCUUGGGUUCAUAUUUCACCCAUUGUUAGAGUUCAAUCAUAUUAUCCAUUGGUUCAGACCAUACCUCGACCACAAUUCUUUUCAUCUCCCACCACUAGUUCUUUGAACUACAGAGCUCUGAAUUCCUCAUUGCACUAUGAGGAUACGUAGGCAUGAAGGCCCUAAUCCUCACCGAGCACUUUAUCUAUUUCCUUUCCUUUUCCCAUUCUUUUGCGAGUAAUCUUCAGAUAUCACACCAAUUCGAGCGAGAACAAUCAAAACGGUUCCCAUGAAGUACCAUGGAUGUUAUGGGUGCUAAUAUAUUUCCCUCGCAUAACCGACUUCCUUAUCCAGCAUAUCUCUUUCUCUGGGUUUUAUCGAUGUUUUCCUUUUCUUUCGGGAAUAAAUAAAGUUCAAUGGCGACUCUAUUGUAUGCUCGAGCGUGCAAUACGUUAGGGUAUAUUUCCACUAGCAUCAAUAGUGUUGCUUAAAAAAGGUCUAGGAUUGUAAGAGUUGCUUGAUUACCGUUAGUUAUAAUAUGUUUUUUUUAUCAUAUAUUACUUUAGUUUCAAUUUUAAAAGAUUUUACUUUUAAUUAUUUAUAUUUUUGAAACUUUUAAUAAAACUUUGAGGUGUGCGAUCUGAGAAGGCGAUGAUACCAUUUUUUUCGGAGCAUAUAUUGGUUUUUUGGUCACGACGCUUAAUGAAGUUACCAUCUAUACUAAUAUAUAAAGGGAAAACAUGAUUUUGGUGUAGCUUUUUUUCUUCCAAAUAUACCCUUUUCAAUUUUAUUUUAAAUCUUAACUUCUCUUUCCCACAAACGACAGUUAUAGGCGGUUAUACAAGAGUUUAUUAUCUUUAAGUAUUUUAUAAAUAAUUAAAAAUAAAGGCAAAAUAAAGGCAGUUAUACAUCAUUUUUCACAUUAUUAUCUUUAAGUAUUUUAUAAAUAAUUAAAAUUAAAAUUAAAAUUAAAUAAAAAUAUAAUAUGAAUUAUAUUUUAUGCGAAUCAGUAUUUGAGAAAGCUGACAGACGGACACGUGAGUGCCCGUCUGGACGCUAGUAUCUAUACUAAUAUAUCUAUACUAAUAUAUAAAGGGAAAAUAUGAUUUUGGUGCAGCUUUUUUCCUUCCAAAUAUACCCUUUUCAAUUUUAUUUUAAAUCUUAACUUCUCUUUCCCACUAACGGUAGGCGAUUAUACAACCGUUUAAUACCUUUAAGUAUUUUAUAAAUAAUUAAAAAUAAAGGCAAAAUAAAGGCAGUUAUACAUCAUUUUUCACAUUAUUAUCUUUAAGUAUUUUAUAAAUAAUUAAAAAUAAAAUUAAAAUUAAAUAAAAAUAUAAUAUGAUUUAUAUUUUAUGCGAAUCAGUAUUUGAGAAAGCUGACAGACGGGCACGUGAGUGCCCGUCUGGACGCUAGUAGCUAUACUAAUAUAUAAAGGAAAAAUAUGAUUUUGGUGUAGCUUUUUUCCUUCCAAAUAUGAAUAUUUUUUUUAAAUAAUCAAUUUUUUAAAAAAAAUUACAAAAAAAUCCAUAAUUUCAAAAAUAUUACAUAAAUGAGCAAUUUUUGCCCUAAUUUGUACAUUGGCGCCACCCUAGAUGGCGCCUACCCCUUAAAAGUAGGGCAAGUCGCCACUAGGAGUGGCGCCUACUCCUACUUCCUUUUUUUUUUAAUUAUUUUUAAUAUGUUUUUAAUUAUUUUUAAAAUUUUUUUAAAUCUUUUUUAACUUAUUUUAAAUUUAUUAAUUUAAAUUUAUUAUAAAUUAUAUUAAUUUAUAUUUAUUAUAAAUUAUAUUAAUUUAUAUUAAUACAUAUAUAUAAAUAAUAUUAUUUACAAGAUAUAUAUAUAUAUAUAUAUAUAUAUAUAUAUAUAUAUAUAUUAAUUUAUAUAUAUUAAUUUAAUUUAUAACAAAAUAAUAUUAUUUACAAAUUUUUGGGAGAAUUAGGGUUAAUCAUGUUAGGGUUAAUUAAUCAAUUAUAAUUAGGGUUUAUUGAUCGGUUAUAAUUAGAGUUUGGUAGUUAUGACCUAAUUCAAACCCUAAUUCUCUCUAAGACUAAUUAAUCAAGUGCGGCACUAAUUAGGGUUAAGUACAUUGGUGUACAACCUAGAAAUUUUCCUAUAAAUAAAGUGUUAUUUCCUUGCAUUUUCUUCACCACAUUUUCCUAUCACUUUCUCUAUCAAGUUGAGUUCAUGGCAUCCCCUAGACCGUCAUCAUGGCAGUGAACAUCAUCAAGGCGGCCGGAUCUUGAAUCAGUAAUCUUAAAAAGGGAUGGGCAUGUUAUUUUCUCGCCUGUCAAACCCCCAAUGGAGAUGAAAUUUUGGAACAUCCGUUCGUUUGACCAACUAAAAAGGUCCUUGAUGUCUUGGUUAGAGGGAGAUUACCAACCUGGUGAAGUCAUCAGAAGGAUUCAGAGGCUUAGAAGAAGGUUCUCAUUUGAAACUGGAGAAACGGUAUGUUGGUGGGUUGAAGUUGAAAGCGACAUUGAUUGCAUCCAAAUGAUGCAUGGAUCAGAUGACAUAGUGUUAACUGUUGUAAUUUCCUAGAUUUUAAUGGUUGUUUGUGUUGUUGUUCUUGUAUUUGUUAUUGUUCUAGUACUUGUUCUUGUUUUAGUACUUGUUCUUGUUCCAGUAUUUAUUUUUGUUUUAAUAUUUGUUGUUCUAAUGUUAGAUGUUUGUGUUUGUUGUUCCAAUGUCAUCUUCUAUUUGGAAUAAAAAGUAAACUUUAUUGAUAAAUAGCAUUGGUACACAGAGUUAUGAAUAUGAAAACUAUGUUGUAGAACUAGAUCCACGAUAUGGACAUUUGUUCUUAUUAUGCCCAAGUUGUCGACAUAUGCUACACUUCCUCUGCAUUUUCUCUGCGACGUCCAUUUCAGUUCUAAUGCGCCUGCUGUUUGGGCGACCACUUUUAUUACGCCGCAUCGAAUCGUUGUGCCAAACAAUUUCCCCAUCAUACUCUGGCCAAUAUGCCUCCAAUGCUACCACCGGAAAGGGAUUGUCGUAUACAUUUAGCAAUGUUGCGACUUUGUAGAUGGGAGACACUAGCGACAAUGCAUUGAAGUGGGUGUGUGAACACGCUGCAAUGACAUGGGAACAAGGCAUACGAUAGGCCUGAAAUUGACCACAGUCGCACCAACAGUCUGGUAUUAGGACCCUAUACUCUUGUCUGGGCAGCCCCUGGUUGUGGUCAAUUGUUUCCUUGACACUAAAAGUGUGGCCAUGGCGGUCGAAUUCCGUAACCCGAUGGCUGCUGGCUUUGGCAGAUUCCUGCCUCAUAAACUUCAUGCAGGCAUCACUAUACACUUGACUCGUCUGUAACACUGCAUGCCAGCGCUUGCCUCUUGUUACAAACAAGGUUGCCAUCCAAAAAUACGUCGCACUCACCAAAGCGGUUACCGGGAGGUUACGUAUGCCCUUAAAGACGUUGUUCAUUGAUUCCACAAGAUUUGUUGUCAUGUGGCCCCACCUCACCCCAUCGUCGUAUGACCUAGUCCACUUUGCUCUGUCAAUAUUAUCGAUCCACCUACCUGCAUCAGAUUUUGCCAACACUAUUUCCCGGCGGUAGUAUUGGAAUCCAGGUUGGUUUAAUGCAUACCCCGUGUUUAUCAAAUUUUGCUUCAAGAAUUUAUCUUUGAACUCCCGCACAAAAUUUUGAGCAAUAUGCCUGAUGCAGUAGAUAUGCGUAGACGGGGGGUCAUGUCAACCAUUUGCUGGAUUAUUGUAUGCACUGUCUAUAGAAACGUGCCUGUCAGAAAUCACACAGAUGCCAGCUUGUGGAGUCACGUGCGUUCGGAGAUUCUUAAGAAAGAAACUCCAAGCAGCAGCCGUUUCUCCUUCUACCAAUGCAAAGGCUAUUGGGAAAAUAUUAGAAUUUCCAUCUUGUGCGACCGCCAUCAGUAACGAUCCUUUGUAUUUCCCAUACAGCCAAGUUCCAUCGACUUGAAUAAGCGGCUUGCAGAAUGUGAAACCGAUGAUGCAGGGACGGAAUGCCCAGAAAAGUCUAUGGAAUAUUCCAUUACCUUCUAGACGAGUUCCGUCAGGGGAUUGUGCCGGCAAGGUCUCCAUUAUAGAAACCGUCCCAGGUGNCAAGGUCUCCAUUAUAGAAACCGUCCCAGGUGAAUACAAAUGUAGUGCAACCAGGUAGCGCGGAAGUUGUUUGUAUGAUUCCUCCCAAUUACCGUAUACCAGUUCAAUUGCCUUGGUUUUCGCUAACUAAGCCUUUCUGUACACAGUGUAUAUUUGAAAACAGCAACACAAUGGGAGAUAAUAGUUUUGACCUUGAGUGACGGGUCAACUUCAACAAGAGGUAUUAUGAAAUGGCAGAUCAUAUCAUGGCUAAGUUUGCGAUGAUCCUGUGCCAUGUUUGUGUUGACGCAAGUGUGACCUUGAGAAAUGGACCCUAUCACCCACGCAUUAUGUUUCUUCUUGUACGAUUCCAUCAAGCUAUACCCACACUUCGGGUUUUUGCAUAAAAUAACGUAUCUUUCCGGGUUUGAUUUGUUAACAUCGUAGUCAACACAGUUUCAAGUGCCAGUUUUUUAUUGCUAACAAACACUAUUCCUUGGUCCGAAAUUGGUCACCCUUUUUUAACUCCUCAUCAGACCUCAUAUAUGGGUUGUAGAACAUAUCUGACGAGGGCUCAUCCUCGCCCAAGUUAAGGGUUGUGAAGUGCGUAGGCGGUGAGNNNNNNNNNNNNNNNNNNNNNNNNNNNNNNNNNNNNNNNNNNNNNNNNNNNNNNNNNNNNNNNNNNNNNNNNNNNNNNNNNNNNNNNNNNNNNNNNNNNNGCUAUGCUUACUCUACAUGAUGAAUGCAUAAAAAGCAUCCCCCUCAAGGGACUCUUCUGAGGAAUACAAGACACUCUGCUGAGGAACUCGUCAAUACUCCGAUUCCACCCUGCUGGGGAAUAGCACUGCUGCUAGGAAAAGGCAACCCUUGCUGGGAAGAACCUCCUUUGCACCCAAUCCGCUCGGGAAUUUGCUGGGGAUAAGAACCACCAACACUCUGUGGGGAUACAUCGGUCUUUGACUUGCUGGGAAUAUCAAUCCCGACUCUGCUUUGAGAACCCUCACAGAUACCUGACGACUUCACUGGGGAAAUGCUUCACAAACACUCUGCUGGGAAACAGCCACAUCCAGGCCUGGCAACUGGGGAAGCAUCGAUCUGACACCUGCUGGGGAUAACCAUCCUGACCCUGCUAGGGAAACGAAUGCUACUCCGCUGGGGACAACCCAUGCAAUCCACAGCUAGAAUCGACUCAGCUGGAGAUGCAGAUAUCGGCCUGCUACGGGAACUUGUCCAAUCCACUGGUAGGAUGAACACUGCUGGAGAUAUAUUUCAUUGAAACCCGCUCCACUCGGGGAGUAGCAACCUUCGGACCUGGCUGCUGAGGAAACACCAUUGUAAACCUGCCGGGGAUAACCAUCCUGACUCGGUUGGAGAAAUCACAGACCCUGGAUCUGCUGGGGAGUUUGGUCCUCAUCACUCUGCUUGGGGACCACGCUGGGAAAUGAGAAAAGUAGGUACAGAACACCCGUCUACUCGUCGAACCAUAGUAUCCACCUCCCAAACUCGUAUCAGCUUUCCACUUCUGGGGAUUCCCAGACUCGUCUGGACCUUUUCUGCUCCAUCAUCUUGUAUUCCCAAUCGCUCCGCGCUCGACGAGAAACGUACUCCUGGGAUUUAUACAUAAUUUUGAUUUUCCGACUUUGAAGAGUCUUCUUGAUUAAUUUCAAAGGUCGUCGGACAUCUCGCGUCGUCUCUUCCUACCGUCCUCCUCUGGGGAAUUUCUACAAACUUUCAGGUCUUCCGACUUUGAAGAGUCUUCUUGAUUAUCAUCAAGGAUCGUCGUACGUCUCAACAUCUUCGUCAUUCUCAUUCCUUCGUCCCUGAGCGAACUCUCUGGGGAUCUGUUACAAAGCUUCCACACCACAACCUGCAAGUGAGUGAAGAAUAUCUAACAGUACCUGCAAAACAGACCGUCAGAUAAAACCGUGCCCCAGGCGUGUCAAGAUUUCAACACUUGGGUCACUCAACCUUCCAAAUAAGAUUUCAAGCUUUCAAUCUCAUAAACAUGCAUUGGAAGGGACCUGUAUGUCUUAAAAUGCAAAAUUCUUUAUCAAAAAUAUCUGGAUGUUUUUGCAAUCAAAGCGGUAAUGAAAAACAAAAACAAAAUUAUUUGACUGAAUGUGCAUUUUAUUGAUUGGAAAGUGUGGCUCAAAUGAGCAAUACAAAAGGAAACAAUUCCUGAAAAGAGGUAAUUGCGCUCAAAAGGAAAAAUCUAUCCUAAUGGCAAUGUGAAACCCGUGAUCUCAUCGAGUUCCAACUCGGUUACACCCCAUAUGUCCUCAGACUCUCCNNNNNNNNNNNNNNNNNNNNNNNNNNNNNNNNNNNNNNNNNNNNNNNNNNNNNNNNNNNNNNNNNNNNNNNNNNNNNNNNNNNNNNNNNNNNNNNNNNNNNNNNNNNNNNNNNNNNNNNNNNNNNNNNNNNNNNNNNNNNNNNNNNNNNNNNNNNNNNNNNNNNNNNNNNNNNNNNNNNNNNNNNNNNNNNNNNNNNNNNNNNNNNNNNNNNNNNNNNNNNNNNNNNNNNNNNNNNNNNNNNNNNNNNNNNNNNNNNNNNNNNNNNNNNNNNNNNNNNNNNNNNNNNNNNNNNNNNNNNNNNNNNNNNNNNNNNNNNNNNNNNNNNNNNNNNNNNNNNNNNNNNNNNNNNNNNNNNNNNNNNNNNNNNNNNNNNNNNNNNNNNNNNNNNNNNNNNNNNNNNNNNNNNNNNNNNNNNNNNNNNNNNNNNNNNNNNNNNNNNNNNNNNNNNNNNNNNNNNNNNNNNNNNNNNNNNNNNNNNNNNNNNNNNNNNNNNNNNNNNNNNNNNNNNNNNNNNNNNNNNNNNNNNNNNNNNNNNNNNNNNNNNNNNNNNNNNNNNNNNNNNNNNNNNNNNNNNNNNNNNNNNNNNNNNNNNNNNNNNNNNNNNNNNNNNNNNNNNNNNNNNNNNNNNNNNNNNNNNNNNNNNNNNNNNNNNNNNNNNNNNNNNNNNNNNNNNNNNNNNNNNNNNNNNNNNNNNNNNNNNNNNNNNNNNNNNNNNNNNNNNNNNNNNNNNNNNNNNNNNNNNNNNNNNNNNNNNNNNNNNNNNNNNNNNNNNNNNNNNNNNNNNNNNNNNNNNNNNNNNNNNNNNNNNNNNNNNNNNNNNNNNNNNNNNNNNNNNNNNNNNNNNNNNNNNNNNNNNNNNNNNNNNNNNNNNNNNNNNNNNNNNNNNNNNNNNNNNNNNNNNNNNNNNNNNNNNNNNNNNNNNNNNNNNNNNNNNNNNNNNNNNNNNNNNNNNNNNNNNNNNNNNNNNNNNNNNNNNNNNNNNNNNNNNNNNNNNNNNNNNNNNNNNNNNNNNNNNNNNNNNNNNNNNNNNNNNNNNNNNNNNNNNNNNNNNNNNNNNNNNNNNNNNNNNNNNNNNNNNNNNNNNNNNNNNNNNNNNNNNNNNNNNNNNNNNNNNNNNNNNNNNNNNNNNNNNNNNNNNNNNNNNNNNNNNNNNNNNNNNNNNNNNNNNNNNNNNNNNNNNNNNNNNNNNNNNNNNNNNNNNNNNNNNNNNNNNNNNNNNNNNNNNNNNNNNNNNNNNNNNNNNNNNNNNNNNNNNNNNNNNNNNNNNNNNNNNNNNNNNNNNNNNNNNNNNNNNNNNNNNNNNNNNNNNNNNNNNNNNNNNNNNNNNNNNNNNNNNNNNNNNNNNNNNNNNNNNNNNNNNNNNNNNNNNNNNNNNNNNNNNNNNNNNNNNNNNNNNNNNNNNNNNNNNNNNNNNNNNNNNNNNNNNNNNNNNNNNNNNNNNNNNNNNNNNNNNNNNNNNNNNNNNNNNNNNNNNNNNNNNNNNNNNNNNNNNNNNNNNNNNNNNNNNNNNNNNNNNNNNNNNNNNNNNNNNNNNNNNNNNNNNNNNNNNNNNNNNNNNNNNNNNNNNNNNNNNNNNNNNNNNNNNNNNNNNNNNNNNNNNNNNNNNNNNNNNNNNNNNNNNNNNNNNNNNNNNNNNNNNNNNNNNNNNNNNNNNNNNNNNNNNNNNNNNNNNNNNNNNNNNNNNNNNNNNNNNNNNNNNNNNNNNNNNNNNNNNNNNNNNNNNNNNNNNNNNNNNNNNNNNNNNNNNNNNNNNNNNNNNNNNNNNNNNNNNNNNNNNNNNNNNNNNNNNNNNNNNNNNNNNNNNNNNNNNNNNNNNNNNNNNNNNNNNNNNNNNNNNNNNNNNNNNNNNNNNNNNNNNNNNNNNNNNNNNNNNNNNNNNNNNNNNNNNNNNNNNNNNNNNNNNNNNNNNNNNNNNNNNNNNNNNNNNNNNNNNNNNNNNNNNNNNNNNNNNNNNNNNNNNNNNNNNNNNNNNNNNNNNNNNNNNNNNNNNNNNNNNNNNNNNNNNNNNNNNNNNNNNNNNNNNNNNNNNNNNNNNNNNNNNNNNNNNNNNNNNNNNNNNNNNNNNNNNNNNNNNNNNNNNNNNNNNNNNNNNNNNNNNNNNNNNNNNNNNNNNNNNNNNNNNNNNNNNNNNNNNNNNNNNNNNNNNNNNNNNNNNNNNNNNNNNNNNNNNNNNNNNNNNNNNNNNNNNNNNNNNNNNNNNNNNNNNNNNNNNNNNNNNNNNNNNNNNNNNNNNNNNNNNNNNNNNNNNNNNNNNNNNNNNNNNNNNNNNNNNNNNNNNNNNNNNNNNNNNNNNNNNNNNNNNNNNNNNNNNNNNNNNNNUUUUUUUUUUUUUUUAGCAGGAUGAACCUCGACUCCUCCCUUACAACGAACCCCAGCAGCUUACCGGACCGCACUCUGAUAGUGCACUCACUUGAAUUCAACCUCAGUUUGAAUUGUCUCAACCGGUCAAACGACUUGCCCCGGUCUGCCAGAUGCCCCUCUCCUGUUUGGGACUUUGCUAUCAUGUCAUAGCAUUUGAUUUCAUGACGAAUCAUAUCAUGAAACAAAGUCACUCUGAUACGCGGCAUUGGCGUUCUGCUUCUUUACAAGACAAUCUUCUCUCCAUGGUAGCUUGUGUACAACGACAUCGGUGUUCAACCCUGGCGUACCCUGACAUGACCAGGCAAAGGUAUUCACAUGUUCUGCCAACAGGGCUACCAUUCUGCUCUCAACUCGCCUCUGCAGCGGCUCCAAUUUUCUUUUCCUUCUUGACCUCGGUGCCUGGAAUAACAAUCUCAACCCGCUUCACGUGCGGCUGAAUCACCUUCUCCUCUUGUUUUGACAACCUGGCUAAUUCCAGCAGAUCACAGUCUUCUUCGCCUUCUUCUUUAGCCUGAUUGCUCGGAUUGUCGAAGUCAUAUGAGGGGUAACCAAAUUGUUAUCAACGAGAUCCGGAGAAUUAUUUUUGAAUUCGGAACGAGACAAAUCAAAAAAGAGAAAAAAUGAAAAUAAACAUUGCCAUUUUUAUUUGUUUUAAACUGCAAAAAUAAAUGAAAAACAGGGAACACCGCUUUUUGACUGAAAAACAUCCAUUUAUUUAUGAUGCAGAAAUGUUGCAAAAUGAAACAUGAGGUGGCCCUUACAAUGAACCAUUACGUGUCGGGCAACACGCAUGGCUUUCAUGCAGAUAAAAUCAAAACAGAAAUCAUUACUCUUCCGGAUGAGUGACAGUGAUGAUCUUUUCAAGCCUUCCAGCUUCCUGGUACGCACGAUUUUAUCCAUUGAUCAAUCUCCCAGUCACUGUCAGUUUCUUUACCCACUGUACAGGCGUGAUCUGAAUCUAGCAUUCCGGCACUGACAAAUAACUGCGUCCGCAUUCACAGGGGAUGGAAAAUCUUCGCCAUCCAUGGUUGUUAGCAACAAGGCUCCGCCAGAGAAAACCUUCUUGACCACGAAUGGACCUUCAUAAUUCGGUGUCCAUUUGCCCCUUCGAUCGUUUUGAGGAGGAAGGAUCCUUUUCAGCCCCAUAUCACCCACGUGAUACACCCGAGGUCGCACUUUCUUGUCAAAAGCACGCUUCAUCCUUUGCUGGUAUAGCUGCCCAUGACAGAUGGCUGCUAGCCUCUUCUCUUCAAUCAGGCUCAACUCUUCGUACCGGGUCCUUACCCAUUCCGCCUCUUGCAAUUUCGCGUCCCUCAGGACUCUCAAAGAGGGAAUCUGAACCUCAACAGGUAAUACCGCCUCCAUCCCAUAUACCAAUGAGAAUGGAGUUGCCCCAGUAGACGUGCGUACCGACGUUCGAUACCCACGCAAUGCAAACGACAACAUCUCAUGCCAGUCUUUGUAGGUCACCACCAUUUUCUGCACAAUCACGCUAUCGAUGUAUUCCAACGUUAUCCGGGCAACGAAAGCUUAUCCGCCUUGACAUCCCCAUCAGACAUCAGAAUCCGUUCGGAUUUGGGGUCAGGCCCCUCCUCCGGGAUCGGCUACUCUCAAUCUUUCGAUCAGAGCACCUCGAGAUGUCCUCAUCAGGGAACUCAAACUUCAUCAGUUGAUAACCCUCAAUGGGUUGCGGAGCGAUAUAAUCAGACAAUACACUCCUUGAUUGCUUCCUGAGAGGUAUAUCGAAUAUCGUAUUCAAUCAAAAUCAUUGGCCCUUUCGCAACCCGUCCGGUCAUUGCUGGCUCUUCCAACCCAUACUUGAUCGGAUCCAUCUUGAAAAUCCACAAAGUGGUAUGAACCAGCAUAAACUGUCUCAGUCGGCGAGCAGCCUAUGCCAAAGUACAACAAGUUUUCUCGAACAGUGAAUGUAUUGUUUCACAAUCGGUAAACUUUUUGCUAAGGUAAAUUGCAUGCUCUUUUCGACAAGACUCGUCAUGCUGACCCAAUACACCUCGUAGACCCCUCGAAGGCCGUCAAGUACAGAUUAACAAUUGCUCCUUCCACAGGAGGUAUCAGAAUCGGAGGUUCCUGCAACUUAUCCUUUUAUUUUCAAUGCCCCUUGGCAACCAUUAUUUCACCUGACCGUUUGAUCUCUUUUCAACAUCCUGAAUAUGGGUUCACACGUGGCUGUUAGAUGAGAUGUGAACCAUGACAGGUAGUUCAAUCUUUCUAAGAAACCACGAACCUCUUUCUUUAUUUUUCCCGGUUCAGGCGUUUCUCUUAUUGUUCUUUUCUUUUUUUUUUUUUUUUUUUAGCAGGAUGAACCUCGACUCCUCCCUUACAACGAACCCCAGCAGCUUACCGGACCGCACUCUGAUAGUGCACUCACUUGAAUUCAACCUCAGUUUGAAUUGUCUCAACCGGUCAAACGACUUGCCCCGGUCUGCCAGAUGCCCCACUUCUGGUUUGGGACUUUGCUAUCAUGUCAUAGCAUUUGAUUUCAUGACGAAUCAUAUCAUGAAACAGAGUCACCAUGGCUCUCUGAUACAGGCACUGGCGUUCUGCUCCUCCAGAGGACAGUCUUCUCUCCAUGGUAGCUUGUGCACAACGACAUCGGUAUCCGACCCUGGCAUAUCCUGACAUGACCAGAUGAAGGUAUCCACAUGCUCUUUCAACAGGGCUACCAUUCUACCUUCAACUCGCCUCUGAAGCGGCCCUAAUUUCACUUCCUUCCUGACCUCGGCGGCGCUUGGAAUAACAACCUCAACCCGCUCCUCGUGCGGCUGAAUCACCUUCUCCUCUUGUUUCAACAACCUGGCUAAUUCCAGCAGAUCACAAUCUUCUUCGCCUUCUUCUUCAGCCUGAUAGCUCGGAUUGUCGAAGUCAUAUGAGGUGUAACCAAAUUGUUAUCAACGAGAUCCGGAGAAUUAUUUUUGAAUUCGGAACGAGACAAAUCAACAAAAAAGAAAAAUGAAAAUAAACAUUGCCAUUUUUAUUUGUUUUUAAACUGCAAAAAUAAAUGAAAAACAGGGAACACCGCUUUUUGACUGAAAAACAUCCAUUUAUUAAUGAUGCAGAAAUGUUGCAAUUUAUGAACAUGAGGUGGCCCUUACAAUGAACCAUUACGUGUCGGGCAACACAUAUGGCUUCCAUGCAUAUAAACUGAAAACAAGAAAUAUUACUCUUCCGGACGAGUGUCAGUGAUGAUCUUGUUUAGGCCUUCCAGCUUCCUGGUACGCACGAUUUUAUCCAUUGAUCAAUCUCCCAGUCACUGUCAGUUUCUUUACCCACUGUAUAGGCGUGAUCUGAAUCUAGCAUUCCGGCACUGACAAAGGUGAACGACGGACGACGUCCUCUGUUCUGCUCAGACGAGUCUUGACCUGGAUGAUAACCAAUCCCAAACAUAUCCGCCUUUACCACAAUGCCUAUGAUUUUUCCCCAGCCUGGGAUCCCUCCAUUUCUCAACAUUUCCAGUGCCUGUUUGUAAGAAGACACAGACGGUUUUUUCUCUUUUCCAACACCAAUGUCAUUUUCCACCUUGACGGUUUCAGCUACCAGACUGGGUGUUUCAAAUUUUCCACCGUCCAUUUCCUUCACCUUCUGGAUCAUAUCCCCCAUCGGUACACCACCCUCUGUGGCGAUGGCCAUACAACAAGUAUCAACACUAGGGAAAGUUCCCUCUUUCCUCCGAGGUUUUGGGACCACAGGCCUCGGCAUUUUUAACCGAUCCCCAUUCACCAACCCAAUCGUCUUCCUAUCCUCAGAAAUUGCAUUCAUCUCCACCUCACCAUGCGCGGGCAUAUGAUUAGCAUUAACAUUGGGAAAUUGUGCAAAAUUAAUGGCCUUGGAAUCCACCAGGUCUUGGACAGCAUGCUUAAAAGCUCUACAACCCUCAAUGUUAUGCCCUGACGCCCCCGAAUGGAAUUCGCACUUAGCAUUCUCAUCGUAGUUGGUUGGCCUCUGAUCAGGUUCUAAUGGAGCUAAUGUCCUCAAUUGUACCAUUCCGAGAUCUUUCAACUUCCUCAACAGAAGAGCAUACGGUAUGGGUGGCCUAUCAAAUUGACGAUCAACCCCCUUUCCUCUUACCUGGUUCCCAGCUCUUUGUGCUCCCGGGCGAGGUGACGGAUGUCUCGGUGGUACAGAUGAACCACCAACAGGAAUGGUUGCAGUGGCAGCAUAAGGGUGAUAACGAUCCUUACCGCAUUCUCUUUUAGUCUGCGCACCACCUGAUUCCACUUCCUUCUCAAGAUGACCACUGUCAAGGGAUUUCUUCACUAUAGAGCCAAAGGGAUUUGUUACUUCGGAUGACGGAGCCUUUCCCUGAACCUUUUCCUUGAUCAUCCAGCCCUCAAUCCUUUCUAAUCUCUCGGCCAUGGCUUUCUGCCCCAAGGCAAGCCCUUGCACAACACUGAACAAAUCCCUCACCAUCUCUUUCAGCUCGAAAAUGUCGGCAUUGGGAGAAUCCAUCAGUUCGGAUUUGUUGCCCCCAGCAGGAUAUCUGAGCAAACAAGCUAUGCGCACUGGCUGACACCUACAAAACAGCAAAUGGGUUAAUAUGCAUGAAUGCAAUGUCCGUCCAUAUGAGGAAGCUUCUGUCCUUUGAUUCUGAUUUCAUCGAGACAGAUAAAAUUUCGACAAUAACAUUCUGACAUUCAAGAUGUCUCUCGACCAGAAUCUCAAUCCAUAGUACUCCCCAUAUGACUAGACGUGGGUUUGAUGCAGAUGAAUGCAAAAUGAGAAUGAUGCAGAUGUAUGCAAUGCACUGGGCCAUCCUCCAAGUCCUCUGAUAAUCUGCACUGAAUCUGAUCUCUGGACUGAUCAUGACCAUCUGAAGGAGUAAGUAACCACCAAUCUGACCCACGGGUUCCGAAAUAAACGGAAGACAGAUACAUCAUCAUCAUCAUCAUCCUCUGAGCAGACAUUCACAAUCCUCUGAAUCGGCCCGGAAGUCCUGAAAUAAAGGGAUCCCCUGAUAAAGUAUCUCGCCCGGGGAAUUCCUGAAUAAACGAUCGCAUCACUGAUAAAUCAGGAAGCACUUGCCGGCGUCUCGGGCAAGAAAUGGCCAUAAAUCCGACUAUAGAAUAUGUUCUUCUGAAUCGCUGGAUCAAAAGUCACCAUUUGAGCACAUCUGACAUGCAUCUGAAAGAAUCACUCCUCGACCCUCCAGGUAAAUUCUAAAACAGGUUGUCCUAAGGCGGAAUAAUAGUCUCGACAAUCCGGCGGAGAUACUCAAUGUGCGGUUUGCCCUUAUCGGGUAGUGCCAUCGUAGCUCUCUUAAAACCGUCUAAACCAAAGAUCCGGAAAUGAUCGGUCACAGAGUCAACAUUCAGAUGACGUAACUACAACCAAAGUGGAAUAUCACAGAGAUGAGCAACUACCAAUGAGCCUGCGUCCGCUUUGUGGUACAUCACCCGCGAGCACAUGUUGACUUACUGAAGACGACAAUGAACCACACUAGUGCCUAGUGUAUCCUCGGCUGGGUUUUAGCCGGCACUCAGAACAGCCCACCAAACAGAGGAUCCACCUGCACAAAGGACGGGCAACAUGAUAGAUGAUGCAUGCAGGACAUUAAUGCCAAAUAUAGAUACACGCACUGGUUUAGAAUAAGUAAAUUGCAAUAAAUAAAACACAAUAACAACCCAACCAAUACCUAAAACGCUAGAAGGACUCGCUAGGGACGAUGGAACAACAUAGGUCUACAUCCUCGAGGUCGCCCAGCAGAGUCGCCAGCUGUCGGCAUCCUGCGAAAAAAUUCAAGCCGGCGAGCUAAAUAACAAAACACUACACAGAGCCGCCACUGUGCGUUAAUUUAUUCCCAAGAUAGUGGAAAGGAAACGCUCAGAGAAAACCUGGAAAAGGAAAUGGUCUCCGCGACCCCAAAGACAGGGAAGGGAGUCGUUACGCAAGGAGAAAUGUAUUGAGCACCGCCUCACGUCCGUUCGUACUCGACGACCACUCUAGAAUAAGAAUAGGGCUAAACAUCACAGCACUCACAGGGAACUGCGGUGGGUUAAGAGGAACGAGUCUCGGAUAAGGUAUCAGCACCUUAUGCCUACAUAUCCUUGGUCCUGGAACAAGAAUCAAGCCACUGGUAGUGCGCUUAGCACGCCAAACAACACAAAACAACACAAACAAGCAGGGCAAACAUGGAGCCGCGACAACCACUGGAUGGGAUCGUCGGCAUCACGAACCAAAACACACUCAAAAGGGCAGAGACAGGAGCCCGCACGCGCCAGUCAACUUCAAUCACGGGCUACGUCGGCAUUCCAGGAACCAAGAGCACACUAAUCAGAUAACAAACAAGACAGCACAGCAAAAAGAAAAAAGGUUGCCGCGGAAAGUGGUGCUCGCACACCACCUGCCUACAUCCUCGUCUGGUACAAGGAUCAGGGCCGAUGUGAGUUCCCCCCUGAGAAGGGAUCUGAAGUUACUAGCCAGAAGAAGCGCAGGGAAAAACAUGACUCAGACUGGACUCGGAGCCCUAGGUGUUGUCAAUGCACGUUACCGCUGAAUUCAGUUUUCUAUCUACUUGCAUAAGCAACUACCCUGAUGUCCAGGAAGAACAAGCACACAAGCAUACAGAAUAAUUCAAGCAUGACAUCAAAUGAGAAACAAGCCCUCACAGAUAUCCACAUAGCAACGCACUAAUAACCAAACAAGUGCUCACACAUAGGUUUACUGCCUCAGGCAAGUCAUCUGUACGGCUGUGUUUGCUCUUAACCUUGCCAUUACGAGGCUAGUAAGGGCAGAAUGAAAGGUGAAGGAGGAUCAGACCUCACAGCUCUAUCCCUGGACCAGGGAGAGCUUCUGACAAAUGACUGGGCAGAAUGGGGAACCCUCAUACUCAGAGACCUGACAAUAAUAUGCAUCGCACAAAAUCUGGGCUUGUAAUCUCAAUGCUACAACCAUGUAAUGGGAGCAAGGAGAAGACUCAGCAGAAUAUGGGGGAUAGAUGUUAUCCUAACUCAGCCAUUGCCAGUAUUAAGGGAUUUCACCUUGCUUGGCAACGAAAAAUAAACACCCCACAACAUUGCUCUAGGAGGACUUCAGACAAAUUGCCCGCGCCCGUAACAGCCGGGUCUCCCAGACUACAUGAAGCAAGAGGACCUACCUCAACGGUUACAACAACGCGGGCAGCGGCUACCAACAAGUUCUUAAAAAACUAAGAGCGACUAAAGUACCUGUAUCAAAAGCUACCAGUUAUAACUCAGACAACCAUCAGAAAACACAAGUUAAUCGUCAAACUAUGCAGCCAGGCAGCACAAAGGCAAGCCUAUGACCAAGCCCAACUUACAUACCUACAAAACAAUGUUUAUGGUUAGUGUACAAACAUCACAACAACAUCAUUUCAAUCACUUGAUCCUUCUCCAUGAGCCUUAGCUAUUCCAUCCUGAAAAAUCAAGCAAAUAUAGGGCAACUAACCACUAGGCCAAUGCCUAGGGUCGCAAAGGCAAGAAAAAUUCGCUAAACACAAGGUAUCUCUAACCAAAGUCAAAUUAUUGUCAAAACAAUAGCCAACACAAUUAAUCCAUGUCCAUAUCAUUCAUCAUGUUCAUUUCAUGCAUAAAACAAUUCAACUUAUGUCAAAAUGGAAACACAAACAUCCAACAGAAGUAUUGCAUUCAAAUCCAUAUCAAAACAGUUCCAAAAACUGCAAUAAAUUACACCUAAAAGGACUAACAGGUAGGCAACCAAAUUUCAGUAAUUGGGCAAAGGGAUACUCAUGUCAAUAAAAUCAACAAAAACAGACACAAUAUAUGCUCCAAUCACAAACAACCAACACAUGGCAGCCACUUCAAAAUCAUAAAAUCGCAUGAAACAAUAAAGGAAUGGUGAGACCAAAACAGGGAUUCAUACAAUGUGUCUAUGAACGAUCCUACCGAAAUUUCAUGAUCAUUCAAUUACCAUAUGACAUUUCGACAAAAGAGCACCAACAUAUGUCACAUGAGCUGCAUCAUUGACCCAAGCAGAGAUGAACAAUACAAUCAAAUUGAAAUGCCAGAUAAUUCACAUAAAAUUCACAUAGCUCUUACAUGUAAUGACAUUCCAUGGCCAAAUUUCACAUACAUUCAAUACGCUAGGUCAUUCAAAUGAAAUCCACAGCAAGUGACUAAUGAGGGUGAAACAAAUUGUCACACCUAGGUCCAAAAUUCAUCAACUCAAUCACCAGGAUAAAUCACUAAAUGUACAUGUAAAUCAUCAUCACGCAGCUACAAUUACCCAAAAAUUUCAAGAAUUUCUUUGAUACUAUGAGCAUUUCAAUAACAAUCAAAAUGGUAGAAUAUCAAAAUGUAGCACAGUGAAACAAACCUAAGGUCAAAACACAAUUUCUACCAAUGCACAACUUCAACAAUAGGAAAAAUCUACAGUCCAGGACGUCAACACAAAAAUCCUGACAUUUUCUGAUUUUUAGUCAAUUUUUGUGAAUUUUUAAAAGGGUUAAUGAUUUUUUAAGAUUAAAUUAAUUAAAAUGAAUUUUACAAUGGGCAGAGUUGUAAUUUAUCAUGGCGCGCUUUGGGGGAGGGAAAAACCUUUAAUUCAAAUAAUUCCAAACAUCAGAUUUUGGAUCAAAACUACCAGGCUUCAAAUCAAUGCGUUUGUCAAUUCUCUAGUUUCCACAAGACACGCAUGUAACAUCAAAUAAUCUCAAAUUCAACACCAAGAAUGCGCAAAUGAAUAUAGGCCGUUCGAAGGCCUCUUAAACAUGUAAAGUCCACAAAUAUGCCUUUAAUCACCUAAAUUGUUGCUAAUUUUUCAUACACGAAUCGAUUCAACUUAGGGUUUUGUUCGAAAACUUCAAAUCCAGAAUUUCUUAGCCUACAUGCUACUUUGCUAGAACUUACUCACAUAUAUUGAUUCUACGUGGAACAAGCUUUCAAACGCAUUAUGCAAUCAGGUCAAACGUGAGAUUCGGAAUUUUUGGCAAUAUCCUGGGAAAUUAUAGUGGCGUUCUUGCUGAUUCUUUGUGUGUCUUCGACCCUCAAACAGAUGCAGGCGGUGAAGAGUCUCAGAGCAAUUGGAUGAAUUGAUGGUCAGCGUCAUGACGCUUCACUUCUAUGGCUCGAAAACUCCGGAUUUUCCAUGAAUGAAGCUUGCUUGGACAGUUGCGAUUUCAGGCACUCCUUUCACUCCAAUCUCCACAAAGCAGUUGAUGAUCGAUGAGAAAGAAUCCAAGUGCCAAAGGAAAUUCGAGAAUUGAGUCAAAUUAUGAUGAAGUUCUGAUGAAGCUUUAGGUGUUGUUGUUCUGUAGGAAUUUUGAGAGAAUAAGAGUUUUCGAAGAUUUGUUGGGAUGUGUGAUGUUCUGUUAUUUGAUUAUUGGAUGAAUAAGGUUUGAAUAUAUAUUAUCUUAAUCUCAAGCUAAUCAUGUUUAUUAACAACUUUGCUUUGCAUUAUAGUGAAGUGUCAUUUUCAAGUAAGGCAAAAUGGUAUUUCCAAAGCCAGCUCAUUGCCUCAUGGACAGCUCACACGACCUCUAAAUGACAUUGUGAGCUGUUGCAUCUGUGUUUCACUCCCAUUGGAUGAAUUUUGGAAAUUCCACAUGUGAUAGCACUUUGUCCAAUUUUGCAAUGUUCAUUUUACAAGUCAAUUCCAAACCACAGGCCUAGGCAUGUAAUGAUAUUCCAACAAGUUUCAAAUGCCAUUUAUGAGGUGUUGCAAAAAUCCCCACUCAAAAUUCCAAUUAUUCCCAAGUUGGACAAUUUUGGCCCUUGGUCCAUUUUAACUGUCCAGUUGGAAAAUGACUUUGCCUUGACACGUUUGAGAAAAUCCAAUAUGCACCAUGAAAAGUACAUGUCAUAAUGGAGUUUGUCAUAUAAAGAACUUGCAAUUUGGACAAACAUGUGGAAUUAUGGCCUCUCUGAUUAUGGUCAUUUCUGAAAUUCACUGAGCCAUAAUUUCCAACAUACAUGGGAUAUUUCAAGUUCUUGGACCUUUUGAAAGGUGAGAACAAGAUCUACAAUUUCAUUGUGAACAAUUUUCAUUUGAAGCUUCUUGGACACGUGGCUUUGAGGUCAAAAGCUUUCCAUUUUUGGAAACUUCAUACAAGUCACUUUCUAUUUUUGGCAUUUUGUCCUGACUUGAUUUUCUCCAUUCUUGAGCUUUGAGAUGUCAUAUAACACUUGCUCCAACAUGAAUGAAGUGUAUCCAACUCAUUCACACUCCAAAUCCAUCAGAUCAUGUACAGUUGACCACAGUUGACUUUUUCAACUGAUAGAUGAAUCUGGCCAAGCAUAAUCAAUCUGAGCUCCAAUCUUCAACUGAAAUGGCUCAAGGGUGAAACCCUAGCCUCAAUAAGCAUAAUAAAUCACAUAAUAACCCCAUAGCCAUCAUAGACCCCAUCUCCUGACCAUUGCCCUGACUGGCCAAUGCAACUGAUAGGGUUGACCAGUGGUCAAAACCCCUAAUCUCAAGGAAUCUUGCUUCAACACUUGAUGAUAUAAACCAUGAUGAUGAUGGAGUAUCAUUGCAAUCAAGAUGAAACCACCAUCCAUUGAGAAUCAUGAAACCCUAAUUCACAGCCAAUCCUCAGAUGGCCAAUGAUCAUGUCAAUAAAACCCUGCUUUGCACUUUGACUUCCUCAUCUUCUGAUCAAGACUUGGAGGAUUACUUGCACAAUGUAACCACAUGAUAUGCAAUAUGCAAUGCCAAUGACCUAAAACGAUAUGCAAUAUGUUAUGCUAUCCCAAGAGAGAGCGGGCAAUUUUGAGGUGUUACAGCAUGAACCGUUGAAUGUCUAACCACAUAAUCUCUGUAAUGAAUGCUAUAAAGUGUGAAGCUUGCUGCCAUUAUAUCGUUAUUAAAACCGAAUCCGCAGCCGCUCGCUAGCACAUCGCUAAGCGAGCAUGCACGAGUAUUGCGCUAAGCCUUCGCUAGCGAGGCAGGCGCGAACCUGACAGUAGCCAACUUUUCUGUUCUGACUUUUCAUUCAUGUUUUAUCAUAGCCAGGCAUUGUUUAUUUGAUCCUAUUACUGUUGUGGUUUCUUUUGCGGUGUAAUCCUCGAUUGCACCCUGAUUUGGUAUGCUAACCCGUUGUUGAAUUUUGCAAAGGUUCAUAUGUCCCAGAAAAAAAGACCGGCCGUUAGGUCUUCCACUUUAUUUGUGGAUACCCUUGUGGAAGCUCACCCUAAUAUGCUUAAUUAAUUUUAAUGGUUAAUUUUAAUAAUUAAUUUUAAGUGUUAAUUUUAAUAAUUAAUUUUAAUGUAUUAAUUUAAUGUAUUAUUUUAAUGUAUUGAUUUUAAUGUGGAGAGUCAUCCUAAUUACCUAAUUAACUUUAAAAUAUGACCUUUAAAAUGUGAUCUUGGACCUCUCUUUUGCCUUACGAUAUUACGGUAUUACGGUCAUGUCCCGCGAAUGGGGAUACACUUAGCAUGGCCCUUUCGAUUAAAUCAUCAUAAAAUAAAUCAUAGUCCCCGGGUGUUCCUUCGAAUAUAUGAUUUUGUCCCUCGAUGACCCUUCGGUGUAGCCUACGGUUAAAUGAUGAUCGUCCUCCGAAUGCUAAGGUUACCUACAACUGUUGCCUUCAAUGACCUAUCGAUGACCCUACGAUGACCCUUAACAAUCCAAAGGAUAAAACUACUUACUUCUCAAUAGUAAGGACAUUUUACCUCAUAAGGAUAGAAAUGCCAUAACAGACCUUAUGAGGUAUAACUCUCAAUUGCCGGAUUAUAACCUAAAACAUUUUCCACCCUCACACUUUGCAAAUCCUAGAAAAUCACCACUUGGUAUACAUUCAUACUAGAACAUUACCAAGUUACAUUUUUCUAAACCGUUUCAAAUCAAAACGAAUAAAUACUUUGUAUACAUUCAUACGAGAAUCAUUACAAAGUUAAACCUCUUUUCAAAACAUUUUUAAACAAUUCACGAACACUUUUCAGACAAAAAUAUAAGUGAUUCAGCAAUUAAAGCCCAUGGAUAACCAUGGAUACAAAGGUGCUAACACCUUCCCUUUGUAUAAUGUACUCCCCGAACUUUUCCAAAAUCUAUGAGGUCUUUCCUGUUCUUUUCCACCUUUCCUUAUUGGAUAAAAGAAAAGUCGGUGGCGACUCUUGCUAUCCGCGACAUUGCGAUAAAAAGCAAAAUACCCGAAGUCAGUUCACCGUAUGACACACACUAUAACGGUCUAUCAAAAUCUUAUAGAUCACCUUGGACCAGACGAUGUAUUAUAACUAAACAUCUCAUUAGAACCUAAAUUUAGUUUUAAUAUUACUAAUUUACAAAUCUUCUAAUGAUGUGUUUUUCAUAUACAAUUUAUCUAGAGGUCAUAUUUAGGUCCCGACCGUGAGGUUAACCCCGAGGAUCCUGCAGUUUGGACUAAAAAACAACAAUCAACAGGUUCACUACCGUGGAGAUGCACCAGAGUGACUGCGUCAAACUGCAAUUCGACAUGCAUCAACAAAUACUAGACCCCCAACGUAUUUGGAUAAUGGUAUUAGCUAAGAGUCGAUACCCAAUGAAAUUAUUCUGAUUGAAGAGAGUUUGCUAGGGAGAUGUGUCGUCAAUAGAAGCAACGAGAUCAAUAAAUCAUAAUCGAACUUAUCAUGCAUGAUGCUAGACCAACUCGAAAUUAUAUGAAUUGCUAUAGGUCGGUUAAAACGACACAAUUUGUGUCUGAUCUGACAUAUUUGAUCGACCCACGUAAUGAGUUUCGUCAUCAUACACCCAACAAUCAACCCUCGUCCAACAACUAACCAAACACCAUUACCAAACCCAAGAACAAUGUCAAUCCACCCAAACCCAAUAACCAACCUCACAACAUCGACAUACCAGAUACACCUAACCACCAAUCGAACAUGAUUAUGAAUCCACAUAAACCCAACUCCGCAACCAAUUCAUGCCACACACCAAACACAAAACCAAAAGCAUGACCCAUACCACCAACAAUCAUAUGCUGCCACCAUAUCUUACUAUAGCCCCGAUGAUGCAUAUGAUUCCACCCAAUUCCACCAUAGCCCCCAACCAACACAUGUCUUUCAAACACCACAUGCUUUGUUUCCAAAACAAUUCAAUGUCUCAACUCAACCAACCGACCCAUCCACACGUAACCCAACCAACACGACCUAACUACGACAACAUGGGCAUCAAACUCAAUUACGCCAUCAUCGACAAUUGAGGAGAUAUGAUUGAAGAUUUGUUAGAUGACACUAAUAUUCUAGGAAUCUCGCACCAACCAUCUUUAGGUCAGAUGAAUACUAGGAGACCUUAAACACCUAAGAGAAAUCGUAGGAGACCUCGAAGGCAAACAAAUGCGCUGAAGUGUAGAAUUGUUGGGCGUUACGAUCGAGUCGGUCAUUAAAUUUCUAUCAAAUCGUUAUGUAAUUCUAUUUAAUAGAAUAAUAUUAUAACGUAUUAAACAUUUUAUUUAAUGUUAUUUUGUUGUUAAAAAAAACAAGACAACACAGUAGGUAUUGUCCGUGGCACAUAAGCAUACACGAAUAUAACGUCUUGCAUCAAAAUUUCACAUUUCAAAUGCAUGUACCGUGACACCUCUUUAUGUGAACAAAUUUUUUUGUUUGAAAUAUAGUUAUUUUAAAAAAAAUUCAAAAAAUUACCUUGAAUAAAAACUACCAUAUACUUUUGCAUUAGAAAAAAAUCAUAUUAUUAUAUAUAAAAAAAGAAAAACAAUUAAAAUUCACACCGCACCACAUCGCGAACCAUUCAUUAAUAUCGUUAUCGUAUCUUCAUAUAGAUUGAAAGAAGAGAAUAGAGAUUGAUGGGGCCCACACAUUGCCACGUGUAACAAUUUGAUUCGUAUUGUCAAAGACGGUGGGGACUUUUCCAACCCUCACAAGGGUUUUUCUUUUCUCUCUCAUUUCUCUCUAAAACUUCACUCUCUCAUUCUCUUCCUUACCGCACUUCAGAUUCAGGUUUUCAACUUCUUCAAUCUUCUUCUUCGUAAUUUCGAUUCUCUUAAUUUCGUUUUUUGGUUUUUGUUUAUCAAUCUUAGUUUUGUUGCUUGCAAUCGAUGAUUUUCUCAAUCUGAAUCUGUGAAUUUUCUGUGAAUUUUCGUGUGAUAUAAUAACCUAAUUAUUAUCGUUAUUCGUUUUUUUGCAGUUCUAUAGAUUUAAUCUCCCAUGGCUUCCAAUUCGCAAAAGGAUAUUCCUUCUGGUAUGUAUCUAUAAUCGGUGACGAUAAUUUUGACUGGAUUGUUGUUAUUAUUUUUAACAUCGGUUCAAAAUUCGUAUUCUGAUUUCAAUAGAUGCGUUCUGAUUAUGUUUGUGGUAUAUCAGAAUCAAGUUUACUAGAUGAUUUUGAUGAUUUUUAGUAAAUCACCAAAUUAACCUCUUAUUGAUGCUCUGAAAUAGUUCCCUGCUUUGUAACGUCCACACUUAUGAGAAAAAAGUCCGUUGUUUGUCUGAAACCGACACCGACACUUGAGAUUACAUUACGAUUAAUUUAUUCAUUUUUUUCUGUGUCAACCACACCUAUACUGAGAUUACGUUUCUGUUGUUUCUGUCUCGGUGUUACGUUUCUGGUGUCCAGAUUAUAGAUAUUUCAAAAAGGUGACUCUAUUAAAGCGUCAAGUUGGUCUUUACAUUUAACCAUUUCCUAUGGAUUAGUUUCAUAUAUUUUAAUUUAACCACUUACAAUCUAUUUGGUGUUUAUAGUUAACCACUUAAUAUCAAUUUAGUCCCUAUCAUUACUAUCAAAUGAUUGAUAUGACUAAAAUUUGACCAAGUUAGGGACCUUUUGGAAAUAUUCAUAUUCUUAGUUACAUGGAUAUAAUUUAUUUAUAUGGAUAUACAAAGGGAAGUACUUUAGACACUUAUCCUUUACUUAGGGUGUACUGCAAGUAGCUACUUUUCUUUAAAUCCAAUAGUAUUGUACUAAUUUCGCUAUAGUCUUUUGGAACUUUUGAUAUUUAUUAAUUUAUCUGCUUUAAUUUCACGCUUUUUGUUAAUUUUUUAGAUGACAAAGCUGGUUCAGCAGAGAAUAAAAUUUCCAAAGAUGAAGCAUCAGCUAAAGCAACUCCUGGACCUGGGGCUGGGCCUGGGCCCGGGGCUGGUUUUCCAGCUAACCCUUUUGAUUUUUCAGCAAUGAGUGGUCUGCUCAAUGUAAGUAGUUAUUUCGUUUCUUUCAUUAUUUGCUUUAUAUGUGUGGUUUGCUGUAUUUAUUGAUAAUGAAGCUGUGUUAAUUUUUUUAGAGUUGAGUUGAGUAUGAUUGCAUGUACUUUGAGUAUGUAUUUUGUUUAUGUACUGCAUGUUUUUACAAGUACUGGCCAUGCGUCGGGUUUUGUGCACUUGCAGCCUACGUCGGAUAAUGAUUAUAGGAAUAAGUUGUGAGGAAAAAGUUGAACAUUUUUCAGAGGUCCUCACUGUUGGUAGUGAGCGUGUGUUGGGAUUGCAUACUCUUUUCCUUCAAAGCUUUCCAUAUUACAAGCUUGUCGACUAUAGUUGCUGCCAAUUUGAAUAAGAUUGUGGCAGAUAGCAUCAGCUCUUAUGUUUUCUAUCUGUAUUUAUCUUUUAAAGAUUGUUAAUGAGAUUUAUUGAAGAGUCACCAUAUGGGAUGUCAUUUGUCAGAUCUAAACCCUGAAGCACCAAGGUGUAUUAGUAUUUCAAUAUGUAGACCUAAAGAUACUUCUAAUGUCAAUAUGUUAUAGGAUCCAAGUAUCAAGGAAUUGGCUGAACAAAUUGCCAAAGAUCCAUCGUUCAAUCAGAUGGCUGAACAACUUCAGAAAACUUUGCAUGGAGCAACACAAGAUGGUGUCCCAAGUUUUGAUAACCAGCAGUAUUUUUCAACCAUGCAACAGGUCAUGGAGAAUCCUAAUUUUAUGACCAUGGCUGAGCGCCUGGGGAAUGCAUUGAUGCAGGUAUUUAUAGAACUUCUUUAUUAUGUUUGUUACAGACAUCUACUGGUUGUUACAAUGCAUAUGCUGUCUAUCACAGGACCCAUCUAUGUCUUCCAUGCUUGAAAAUUUUACCAAUCCGUCAAAUAAAGAUCAGCUCGAAGAGAGAAUGGCACGCAUCAAAGAAGAUCCAUCUUUGAAACAUAUUUUAGAUGAGAUAGAGACUGGUGGUCCGGCUGCAAUGAUGAGGUUUAAAUACCAUUUUUUUAAAAAUUGUAUUUGAUUGUUUUGGUAUUUCUAUAUUUCCACCAUAAUCUGUUGUUACUUGUUAUCUGAAUUGGUAAUUAGUUUCUGAAGUGUUUCUUUCCAUGCAGAUACUGGAAUGAUGAGGAGGUUUUGAAGAAGUUGGGACUAGCCAUGGGCAUUCCUCCAACCACUGGAGAGGCAGCUGCCGCUUCUGAAAACUCUGGGCCAGAUGAAACAGAAGAUGCGGGAAACGAAGAUGAAUCAAUUGUUCAUCAUACUGCUAGUGUUGGUGACAUUGAGGUAAGACAUAUUGACUAUUCACUUUAUGGUUGAAUUGAAGUCAUUCAAAUGAAACUGUGUAAGACAAAUUUGUAGUUGUGCUCGAGUGUGAAACUUUUUCGGGUAGAAGGUGCAGAUGUGGAAGACAAAAGUUAGGUUAAGUUCAUGCUGAAUUUUGAAGAAAUGAAAAUAGGUUUCGAGUGUAAUUGUCUUUCUAUUGGAUUUGGAACUAAGUUUCUGCAUGAAUUGAUUAAGGUAAUGUCAAAAUGGAUCGCAAUCAAGUAAAUUAGUUAUCAGUUUUCCAACUAUCUUUCUAUAGGCUUUUUGAAACUUCAUAUUGGCAUCCCUUGGAAUAUCUAUCGGUUUAGCUUCUAGAGUUCGUGUUUCCUCUUACAAAUUGGUUACAUUACAUGUCCUUUUGAGAAAGAAAAUUCUUAUUAGUUUGAUCUGACCUCUUCUAUACCCUACGAUUCCCUGAUUUGAAAAUAGCAUUUUUCUUUUAGGUUUGUAAAUUCCAUUCCUGUCAUCACAUGUGAUAAUUGUAUGAUCCGCAUAAACCUCAAUGCAAGUAUUAUAGUAACAUAGGUCCAUUAAAUUGGUGCCUUAAAGAAAUAAAAUAGCUUCUACGGAAGUCUUUUGACCCCAAAAUUAGAACACAGCGCCACUGAAUCAUUUGAAGCAAGUUCUAGGAGAUUUGAAACCAUAAAUGAACAUUCUCAAUUGACUCAUAUUCCACAGACUCUCUGAGUGACAUAUCAAGGGGGAUGCCUCAUGCAAGUAAAACACAUAAACUUUUGAGCAUCUCCCUAUUAACAAAUCAAUACAGCAGUUACAUAUUUGAUUUGUGUAUGCAGUUGUGUAAAGGUUGUAUGCCUUAUUUUAUUGUUAACUUUGAAGGAAAUAAAAUUAAAAAGAAUUAACAUUGCUCCUUUCUUUAUUAUUGUUUUUAUGCUUCAUCUAUUUUAGUUAUCCUGUUGUUAAAUUCCACCACUGUCUUAUUAUUUAUCGGUACAAUUUGAAGACACUUAAUGAGAGCUAAACAUUUACAUUUACCCUAAUCAAUUAGGGAUUGAAAGCUGCGUUAGCCUCUGGUGCUGAUAAAGAUGAAGAAGAUUCAGAGGGAAGAACUGCUUUGCAUUUUGCUUGUGGUUACGGUGAGGUAUGCUAAUAUACAGUGAAAUAUUUCCUCAACUUUAUGACACAUGCUUCCUGGUUUCUUAGAAUUUAUACAUAUAUGUUGUUGGCUAGUACCUUUAUUUAUAAGCAUGGUGGAAAGCAAAUGAAGGAUGUAACGAGGCUUGCGAUGUUAUUGUUUUGUAAAAAUGCUAUAGCAUUGUGAGUUUCUCUUACUGCGGUGAACCCAGACACUAGACACCGCUCAUAAUGCUGGGUUGUAAACUUGUAAUAGUUUGAGCUACAAUUUCUAAAUCUUUGCUGAUGCAAUGAUGCCACAACUGGUAACAAUGGUGGUUCUGUACUCAUUUGGAAUUAGAAUAUUAGAUUAGAUUCUAGUAUAUAUAUGGAUGAACAUGCUAGCUCCAUCCAGCCCUCUAAUCCUUUAGGGCAGGGUGUGUAAGGGAACUGAACUCUAAGAAUCAGAAUUUUAGGAUUCUAGUUUGGUUUUACCAAUUUAUGGAUUAAAAUAUGCUCCUGAUAAUAUUUCAGGUGAAGUGUGCGCAAAUUCUCCUAGAGGCUGGAGCUAAAGUAGAUGCUUUGGAUAAGAACAAGAAUACAGCUCUUCAUUAUGCCGCAGGUUAUGGCAGGAAGGAAUGUGUGGCCUUGCUCGUUGAAAAUGGUGCUGCAGUGUAAGUAGUUUUUUUAAGCUUGUGUGUAUUGAAAGUCUUCUACUAUACAUGUCGGUGCUUCCUAUAUCUUGUUUGUGAUUUUCAUGUUUUUCGUUCAAUUUGCAGUACUCUGCAGAAUAUGGAUGGAAAAACUCCUAUAGAUGUUGCAAAGCUAAACAAUCAAGAUGAUGUCCUACAGCUGCUUGAGAAAGAUGUUUUCCUGUAAUUGCAAGGCUUGCACAAUGGAUGUUAUUCCAUCACCAAAAAGAAAAGGGGAAACUGAGGGAAAAAACAAAAGCAUGAUAUGAUGACUUUUAUUUUUCUUUUGAUUUCUUCCAAUCGUUGUGUUGAACUUAAUUAGUUACCAUAAAAUUUGUUAAUUGUACACUAGCAACGCAUUUGUUUGUUAUUACACUGCAGCAUGAUUAGUGCAUUAAUGGUUUCAUUUCCUUUGAUACAGUUUUACAAUCACUAAAUUUCCCCUGGGC